UUUUUUUUUUUUUGCUUUCACAUAUUUAAUUUAUGUUAAAUACAAAACCUACCAGUUUCCCUUUCAAAAAAAUAUUAGUGCAACACUUUUUGAAUUUUACUUACAAACAUUUAUGUAUUUAACAUAAAUUAAAUGAUUCAGAGUGAAAUGCCCAUAAAGAGCAGAAUAUUUGUUCAUGUAAUGGAGGAAACCCACAAAGAGUUGGUACUUUAUGGGUCAUUUCUUUUUUAAAAAAAAUUUAAUUUAUGUUGAAAAGAUAACCUGCCAGUUUUCGUUUUGUAAGAAAUCAGUGUAACACUUUUUGAAUUUUACUUACAAACAUUUAUAAAUUUAUCAUAAAUUAUAUGUUUGAAAGUAAAAUACCCAUAAAAAGUUGGUACUUUGAAUAGAUAAUGCUCAUUUGCCCAUAAACUACACUCUCUGAAGGCUAUUUUGUUAAUUACUUUGUAGUACUUUGUUAUUCCUUUGCUAAUACUACUUGGCAUGUAGUACAAAAGAUAAAUCUGGCAUAAAUUUCUUAUUCCAUUGAUAAAAAGACCUGCCUGCCUUAUAACUAUUGUAAUGAAAGAUAUAUCUUUAGAGUUUAUAACAAAUUAUUACUUAAGUUUGAGAAAAUUAUAAAAUAUUUAUGCAUAGUUUAUCAAGAUACCAUUCGCAAUUUCCUAAUAAAAAAAUAGGGGCUAAAUUGUAAAAGUUAGGGUGCCAUAAUAGAAAUAAUAAAAUUGGUGUAUUACAUAUGGGGGUUAAAUUGCAAAAGUUAGAGUGCCAUAAUAGAAUUAAUGAAAUUGGUGAAUUACAUAUGGGGCUAAAUUACAAAAGUUAGGGAGUAAUAAUAGAAUUAAAGAAAUCGGUGUACUACAUAUGGAGCUAAAUUGUAAAAGUUAAGGUAUCAUAAUGGAAUUAAUGGAAUUUUUUACAACAUUUGGGGCUAAAUCGCAAAAGUUAGGGUGACACAGUAGAAUUAAUGAAAGUGACUUAAAAAUAAUUACUUUAAACAGUGACAAUUAAUUCUUGUCACUAAAUCCGAAUCGGUAGAGUGACAGUGACGAUAUUAGAAGUUGUCACUAUAGAGAUCAUUUUAGUGACAACUUUUUCAAGGUCGUCACUGAAGACUUAGUUGCUUUGAGCAAUUAUGACAACUUUCCUUGUCGUCACUAAACAACCACGUUUUGUGACGACUUUUGUCGUCACUAAAAAAUGUUGUCACUAAUGACCAUAUUUCUUGCAGUGUAGUUUGUGACGAAAAUAACGGGUCGUCACUAAACAUUUGGUUGCUUUGAUGCAAUUGUGACAACUUUAGGUGUCGCGACUAAAGAAGCUCCUUUUGUGACGACUUAUUGUCAUCACUACAAAAUGUUGUCACUAAUAACUUUUUUUUUCGUGAUCAGUGACGACAACAAAAAGUCGUCCGUAAAUAACUUAAAUUAAUAUUUAAGUAACUAUGACUAGUUUAAUAAAUCAUCAAAUUUUAAAAAAAAAUUAAAUUAAUAUUGAGGCUCACAAUUAAAUAAAGUCAUAGUUAAUAAAUCAUCAAAUUUAAAAAAAAUAAAUUAAUAUUGAGGUUCACAAUUAAAUAAAUGCAUUAGAGAUGUUCAAGUUAGUGAUGAUACUUAUGUUGUCACUAACUACACUAUAGUUUUAUUGACAAAAAUUGGUCGUCAAUAAACAUAAACAGUGACAACAACGAAAAGUUGUCAAAGAAAGUGGUAGAAUUACUGACAACUUUUAUCAAGUCGUCACUAUCGCAAAACUCGCGCCUUCCAAGUCCCAUGGCGCGAAGUAGUUUUGUGACGACAAUUAAAAGUUGUCACUGAAAACUCAGUUGCUUUGAGUCAAUUGUGACAACCUUCAAAGUCGUGACUAAACAACCUCAUUUUGUGACGACUUUUUGUCGUCACAAAGAAAUGUUGUCACUAAUGACCUUUUUUCUUGUAGUGCGCUCAGAGCUCAUGAGUUAAAUGUGUUCAUGUACAAUUACCAAUCAUAUGUAUUCAGGUAUUAAGUACCACGUAGUUCAAAGAGAGAGGGGACAAGGGCAUCCCACGAGUAAAAUAUGAUUGGUCGAUAAGAUUUACUUCGAUCGACGUCGAGUCAGCACAAAUAUAAUUUGCAAUGGCAACACUUCACUUAAUCACAUAGCAAUUCACUUCACACAAUUCGAAUAUCAAAUCACAUAGCACAAUUCAAUUGCGGCAUCACUUAAGGGAGAACGAGUGCGAUAAAGUACACACUCGUCUCAACAAUUUCAUAAUACUCAUUUAACAAUUAAAGCAUUUAUCAACCAUUCAUGCACUUGAUACUCACCAAGUAAAAUAAGGAAGAAAUGUUCACUCGAGGGUUCAGACGCCCACCGUGGGAUCCUCUUGAAGGUCCUCCUGUGUGUCUGAGCAAUCAAUGAUUAACUAUUACACACAAUCUCUUAAAACCCCUAAUUAUCGAAGAAGAUUGUAUACUUGUACAAUCUAGAAAAAUAUCAUGAAAAUGAUCCUUAAUUACUCGUAAAUCGAGGCUUAAAAGUGGGGUUUUAGUAAUACAAGGAAAUCUGAUUUUCAUCUUUAAAAUCAAGUAUAAAACGAUCCAGCGAUAUCAAAGUAAAAUGGAGAGUUCUAAAAACUCAAUUUCUCUAAGUUUGGAAAUUUCAGAUUUGACAAACAAUCUUUGAAAAAUCGUAUCUCACUCUUUGUAGGUCCAAAAUUGGAAACUUGGUACCGUUGGAAACUACUUUCAAAGUACUAAAAGUUCCUAGAAGACACUUUUCCAUGAUUACAGAUGGAAGAUAUUCAAAUUUUGGCUUAAAGUCGCUGAUUUGGGCUAUCAAGACAGUUUCGGAGUUGGUUUUUGGCCAACUUUGAAGAUUCGGCAAAAUUCACAGAAUACGAACUAGCCUCUGAAAUUUGAAACUCAUUUAGAGUUACAAUCAAAGUUUAAAACACAACAAGCAAAACAAGAAUCAGAGUUUUGAGCACCAAGAUAUAGCAGCUCAAAUUUGCUGAAAAUUUCUCACUAAACAAGAAUUUCCGGGUUUGAAACGUAAACUUUGAGACUUCAGUUGAGUAUCGAAAUAGAUUUGGAAUGUCACCAAAUUUGGUAUGAGCACACUAACAUAUGAGGGCCACUCCUUUGUCAAAUUUCAUGCAAAAAUUUGUACAAAAAGUCAAUUAACAAGACCACUAAAGUUUAAAAAAUUUCCAAGGCAAAUCGGCCUUAUGCUUCUGUUUUCCUUUUUCUAAUAUUUGGCCGAUAAAGUCAUCUCAAAUCUGGUUCAUUUAUGAAGGAAAGGUCUAAGAAAUAUCCAAUAUAUAUUUGGUAGAUGAUUGACACCAAAAGUUUCAAAAUAACAAGUCCCAAUUCGAGCUAAGCCAUUCGGCUAGCUAAAAUGCGGGUUUUCCAUCACUGAUACAGUUUCGUAACUAGGCCACAACUCACUCAAUUCAACUUGGAAUUAAGUAUGGUUUGUGGCAUUGGAAAAUAAAUUCAUAGGGCUACAAUUUCUCAGAAGAAAACACUUUAAGAUUCAGUCCAUAGCUAGCUCAAAUUCAAGCAACAAGUUCCAGCACCUCACUGUCUCUCUAGCAUAGCCGAGAAACAGGAUAGGUGACUUUGAAAGGCUGGUACGGUUCACUCAAGUAGAAUCAGGAGAUACAUUUUAUACCGUUAUAAAAUUGGAAGUGUCUGGUUUCUAAUGCUGCACACGGAACUCGAUUUCAAUAUUGGAGUAAAGAGUUAUAGUCGUUUGAAAUUCGCUGCCAGAGAAACCCUGUACACAUUUUUCAGUCAUGAAACCAUUUCGAAAUCUAAACAUUUACCCAACCAAAUCAAGUGAGUUUUGGUGGAAACUUUUCACACAACCUAUACAACAUAUCUACAUCAAAAUCAAGUCAAUUUAAUCACAAAAGAUCACACCAAGGGGCACGGCAAAGACAGGGCAGAAUCGGCCCUUCUGCCGUUUCACUUUCUUUGAGUUUUCUUUCCACUUUUCAACUUAUAAUCACUAGUUUAAUCACUAAAUUAACAUAAACAACACCCAACAUCAUCACAUCAGUUCAUCAAGUCCAUUGUGGGAUUUCAUAGAGCCCACUCACAUGAUUUCCAACAAUAUAGAGGUACCCACAUGAAGCUACAAGCUUCCAAGUGCAAUUUAACUUAAAAAAGCUAAGAUUCAAGGGUUGGAUUAUCAUUACCUCCUAUAUGGUGUUAAACCAAAAAUUUUCGGCCCCUUUGAGCUCAAGAAAACCGUGAGAAUGAAGCUCUUCUCCUAGCCCAAGAUGAUCUCCAAGUUAUUUGCAAGGUGUGGUAGGAAUUUGAGAUGAUUUGGUGCAAGUUUGAGUGAUGAGAUGAAGAAAUUUUUUGGUCUUCUUCCCUUGGUGUUGCACGGCUGCUUGAGAGAGAAAGGGAGAGUGUUUCUGCUGAUGGUUGAGGCUUCCUUGAGAAGUUUAAGAGUUUGUGGCCAAAGUUACUCCAAAAGUCAACUAAGAAUAGUACAUGUACGCGCGUGUUUCGUGCUUGUUUCCUCUCGGGUUUGUUUCACUUGUGCACUAAACCUCCAAUGUACUUUCUUAAACAUUAUAAUUAUUCACUCUUAGUAGUCUAGAAUAAAUUUCUUAAAUCUCUAUUUAACCAUUCCAACUCGAUAUUCGUGAAAUUCUAAUUCGCGCGCGAUAAGACGAAAUUUACGAGAAAUUCAUAUAACGAUUAUAUAAUUAACUACUACUAAUGUAAUUAAUUAUAAAAUAAUCAUUUUAGAAAUAAAACAUGAGUACUCAAAUCUCCAAAAUUAUUUCACUUUUGAUUCAAAUAUAGCCUCGAUAAACGUGUUUUCGCUAUUUCUUAUCGAACGAGCCUCCGAAAAAUAAAUUUUUCUAACAAAACAUUUUUAAAACAUAAAGGAGACAUUAUUCCAUAUAAAUGGAUUUAAAAUGAUUGAAAUAAAUUAUUCGGAGAAAACGGGUGAAUAAAUAAUUAAUUAAGCCAUUAAAAUAAGAUUAAAAUAAGUAAAAAUUCGAGUCGUCACAUCCUUCCCUCCUUAAAAAGAAUUUCAUCCUCGAAAUUCGUACCCUGAUUUAUGAAUAACCCCAAAUACUUCUUUCGGUCUCCUCUUUAACUUCUCAAAUUGCUUCCCCGAUUCCAUAAUCUCUCUAUAAGGCCUUCAUUAGAUUGAUUUCCUUGCGUUUUAACUUUUUGACGUUUCGAUCAAAAUCUUUACCGUCCCUUUCCUCACGUGACCAAUUUUCAUCACUCUUACUUCUCCCAUUCAACGCACACUUAUUGAACUUAACUAUUCUCAGGUGCCGUUCAUGAUCUUAUUACAGGUCUAGAGACAUGGAGCAAUAGAUUACAUAUACAUAUAAACAGUAAAAUCAAUUAAAAGUAGAGUAAAUUUUCAUAUGCCAUAAAAGAUCAUAAUAGUUAUACUAAGUUAUAAUAAGUUUAUCAAAUCGUUUCAAAAGAAAAGAGGAAACAACCAGAUCAAAAUGUGCUAAGUCGCAAUAUACAACAAAAGGAUGUCAUCCCCUAUACAAAAGAUUACAACCUCUAAAAGUGCCAGUCUAUGUUAGGGUAAAACCACAAUCCCUAUUUGUCGAGUGGAGUCAAAUUCACCCCUACUCGUAGAGUUUUCCCCACUUGGAUCCCUCUUACAAUCAUUGGUAUUAAUUAUUCCUUCCGACACUCGAUUGAUUUGCAGUGGAUUUAGCAGGUUGUUGAGAAUUUCCUUCUCCCUUAGAAGUUUUAAGGCAAAUUGAAAACUUAUGCUCGGUACUACUGCACCUCAGACAUUUUCCUUGUUUUCUCCAGCACUCGACCUCAGUGUGGUUAAACUUGCCACAAUAUGAACAAGUUACAUGAGGAGUCACGGUUUGACCAGUUUGAGUUUCCCCCUUUUGUUGAUCUCGUCUACUCUGAUUUUGUUUUGGCGGGGCUUCGCUUGAUAGAGUUUCUCCGGGUAUUUCAGGCAUCUUCACUCCUCCAACCCCUUUUUCCAUUUUAAGGGGUUGGGUAGACCUCUCGGACUGUUUAGAUGUAUCGCUUGGGUUACCUCUCUUUCUAGCAUGAAAAACUUUAGAUUAAAACUUAGCAUUUUCUACCCUCUGUGCCUUAUCCAAGGCAUCCGUAAAAGUGGUAAUCUGAGCUGCUGCUAGGAAUUUUUGGAUUUCUACAUUUAACCCCUGAAUAAACCUCCUUAUCCUUUUCUGUUCGAUGACUACAAGCUCAGGGGCAAAUUUGAAAAAUUUUGUGAACCGCUUCUCAUACUCGGCCAUACUAAAUAAUCCUUGCUUCAACUUAAUAAAGUCGUCCUCCCUCUUUUCUUAUAUAAUUGGCAGGAGGAACUUGACAUUAAACCCCCUCUCAAAGUUUACCCAAGUCCAAGGGAUUUGUUCUCUUUCUCACUUUGCACUAACAACAUUCCACCAUGAGCGUGCUGGCCCUUCAAAUUGGAAAACGACAAAAUUCACUUGCCUUUUCUCGGUAUAAUCUAAAGCAGCAAAGAUAUCAACCAUCCUUUCAAACCAAAUUUCCGCUACCUCGGGAUCAGACCCUCCAUGAAACUUAGGUGGAGCGAACUUUAAAAAUUGCUCUAGGGCUCUAUCCUCACCCCUCUCUUGGUUCCUUGGUUGUUUGACUGGUUCAGAUCCUUGGUGCUCAGCUAAGCACUCGAGAAUAUCGGUCAUGCGGUUAAUAGCCGUAGCUACUUGGUCACCCUCUUCGUUUCUAGGGUUUUGGUUUGGUUCAGUCGCAGAUCCCCCACCUCUCUUGGGAGUGCGGGGUUGCCAAAACCCACGCCCACGUCCCCGUCCACGUCCUCGCCGAUCCAUUUAGCAAAAUUCUAAACGCAUAAUAAAAGUAGAAAGUAUAAGCGCAUGAAUUGAAAAAUAGGUACACAUUGCAAGAACACUUUAAAUCAAAGCAUAGUUAUUUGCAUAAGUUAGAAGUCAUGUCACAUGUCAAUGUGCAUACAACGAAUUAACAAUAUCAAAUACAGGUCAUAGGCAACUAAGUGCCGCAAAUAUAGGAGUACAUGUGGGCAAAAUACAAAAGGUCUCACGGCGAGCACCAUCCCUACUAUCCUAUGCAGGAUUUAAAAAAGGGUAAAAAAUAAAAAAGUCCCCUGUGAUAAAUCUAAUACACAGAAAAGCCCUCCAUGGUUUCAAAAUAUACAAUAUAACCCCUCAUGCUUUGAACUAAAUUGUAAAGGUGACGGAAUCCGUUAAACUUAACAGAAAUUAUCAAAAUGACCAAAAUAUCCUGAUAUAAAUAAACAAAAGACAGCUUAAAAAAAUCAUUUGUUUUAUUUUCUAAGUAGAGAGAAUUGAGAGUUAAGCGGUAGAAUAGGUAAAUUUGAUAAAAAUUAGGUAUAAAAUUUUUUUUUUAGGUUCCAAUAAGUCAUUUCCGUUAAGUUUAACGGAUUCCGUCACCUUUACAAUUUAGUUCAAAGCAUGAGAUGUCGUGUUGUAAAUUUUGAAAUCAUAAGGGAUUUUUCUAUGUAUUAGGCUUACUACAGGGGGCUUUUUUGUUUUCAACCCUUUAAAAAUAGAAAAUCAUAAGUGUGACAGCCCCACCUUCCCCUAAGGCGAACCAAAGGGGUUAGCGGACUGCCUGCCCAACUCUCGCCAGGACUAACGAGACAGUGUUAUUCUUGGUUUUGAUGAUCACAAAGGACUUUGAAAUGUUUAUCUAACUCUCUUCAAAUAUAAGUGCUUUUUGCCUAUCAAAGAAUCAGGUACGAAUAUGUCAAGAAAUGAAAAUCAACCAAAAGAAGAAGCAAAAAAACAGGACACCCAUGUCGGACGUCCGAAAGGAUGAAGAUCAUUAAGAAGGAAAUUCUAUCGGACGCUCGUGAGGAAGCAUCGGACGUCCGGAUGGAUCGGACGUACUCUUCGGACGCACAUCGAUCGGGUCGGACGUCCUAAAAAUUCCACAAAGUGUUGAUGACUCUCUGCCAAGACUCUGUCGGACGCUCGUAAGGAAGCAUCGGACGUCCUGAAGGAUCGGACGCAUGCUUCGGACGCACAUCAAUCUCAUCGGACGUCCUAAAAGUUCCACGAAUAUUUGAUAACUCUCUGGACGACGUUCGGACACAGAAGCUCGGACGAUAAAAUCCCAUCGGACGUCCGAACAACAACUUGACUGGUUUUCGGACGAUGGGAUCGGACGAUGACUAAGCCGUCGGACGUCUGACAGCUCCAACGGCUAGCUGACUCUUCAUCUGCCUUCUAUCCGUUGGAAGUAUUAAUGAAGCUCAUUUUUGGUUCCCUUUAAAUACAAACGAUUCUGAAUCAGAUGGGGACUUUUGCACACUUUGUUUACAAGAUCUCAAGAGAUAUUUUAGCUAGAAAAUAGUCUCCAAAGCUAGAUUUGUUCUCCAAGUGGUGUGAAUUUAUUGUGAGCAUUUCUCUUGUGGUUGAAAGUUUCAUUAGUGUAGCUUUGUUGAGGGUUAUCUGAGUGAUUGUAAAACUUCUUAGCUUGACUAAGUGUGGCUUAGGGCAAGGAGGAAGUGCUCCCUCCAUUGUACAUCUAGUUGAUCAUCUUUCAUCAAAGAGAAGUUGCUCAACCUAGUGAUUGGUCUUCAAGUUUGAGGAAAGCUUGGUAGACAAUCAGUUUGAUAUUCUAUCUUAUUCCUUUUUGUUUAAUAAAAUUCUCAUUGCUUAUCUAUACUUGUUUUUCGAAUCAAUAUUGCUCUCUUCUUCUAAUCUAUUUGAUUGAUCAUUACUAGAAAAGAAGGUAAAUUUUUAUUAAGCAAAAAUUGCAUAAAUUUGAUUAAGAUUUUAAUCAACCUAAUUCACCCCCCCUCUUAAGUUAUCUUUGGGCCUUACAAUUGGUAUCAGAGCAUGGUCUCCUAGAGAUUAAGCUCAAACGGCUUGGAGUAAAGAUGACAACCAGUCAUGCUAUGUUUGUUGAGGGACAAUCUGUUAUUAGGCCUCCCAUGUUCAGUGGCUCCAAUUAUGUUAGCUGGAAAGAAAUGAUGAUUUUCUUUUUGCAAUCUAUUGAUAUUGAGCUAUGGUUUAUUGUGAGUGAAGGACCGCAUGAAGCUAACUUUCUUGAUGCAGAUACAGGGUUGCUUCGGCCAAAAAGAAGAGCUGAAAUGAAUGCUCAAGAUAGGACUAAUCUCACACUGAAUGCCAAAGCCAUGAAUGUUCUGUAUAGUGCCUUAGAUUCAAAUGAAUCAAUUAGAGUAAAAGGCUGUAAAUCGGCCAAAGAAAUGUGGGAUAAGCUAAGAGAAAUCCAUGAGGGUGGUGACAAUGUGAGAGAACAGAAAAAGGCUAUCUUGGUCACAAAGUAUGAAUCAUUUAAAAUUGAACCUCUUGAGGAUAUUGAUAAAAUGUAUUGCAGGUUCAAUGACUUGAUCAAAGAUCUCGAGGUGUUGGGCAAAGAGUACACCUUGGGAGAGAAGAACAGGAAAAUUCUCAAUGCAUUGGGCAAAGAAUGGAAAAAUAAAGUGACUGCAAUAGAGGAGGCUAAGGAUUUAAAUUCAGUGCCUAUUGAAUCUCUCAUUAACUCACUAACCUCUUAUGAGUUGAAGUUGAAAUCUAAAGUGCAGGAGGAAGAGGAUGCUAGAGCAAAGAGAAACAUUGCUCUAAAAACUACUCAAGGUGAAGAUGAUCCAGCUCACUUGGAUGAUGAAGACUCGGAUGGUGAUGAUAAUGAUCUUGCUCUCAUCACAAGGGGCUUCAAGAAAAUCCUGAAUAAAAGGAAGUUUAGAAGGGGAGGACCUAGCAAUCAAUUCCAAAAUUAUUCAUCAAAUGCAAGGAACAAAGGAAAACAAGAAUUCAACAAGAAGCAAGUGGACAAAUGCUACGAGUGUGGACAGCCUGGACACUACGCAAACGAAUGCUCUUUAAAGAAAAAUAAAGAUGGAAAAGCUGAUCGAAAGCCAAGGUUCAACAACUUCCAGAUUACAUGGAAUGAAUGCAACUCCGAAGGCGAAGUUGAAGAAGAAGAAGAAUCAGCUCAAUUGGCUUUCAUGGCUAUUGGAGAUAAUGAGGUAACUUCCAUACACUCUCAAUCUGAAAGUGAUGAUGAAGAAGAUGAUGAUCUUGAAUCCUUUGUUGAAAAACUGCAUAAUGCCUUGAAAGAAUCUUAUGAUAAAAACAAGCAGCUAAAACAGAAAAUUGCUUUUCUCAUUCAUGAAAAUGCAAGUCUUCUUCAACAAAAUAAACAACUAAAGACUGACAAUGAAUGUCUUGUAAGAGCCGAAUUUGAUGUUCAGAAUGAGCUUGAUAGAAAGACAAGUAUUUGUGAAAUGCUGAAGGAAAGACAUGGUGAUUUGAAGAAAAGAAUGGACAACUUGGAUGAGACUUUGAAAGCAAGAAAGCAAGAUUUUCUCAAAAAGAACAUGUCAUCUACCUUUCUUACUGCUCAUCAAAGAAUAUUAGCACACAACAAAAAUGCACAUGAUUUCACAAUAUAUAGAAGAAGUGGAUUGAGAUAUGUCAAACCAUUACAUGUUAAGGAUUCUUCCAUUAUGUGUGGUUUUUGUUGUCAAAAAGGGCAUUUGAAAGGAGAUUGCUAUGUGAAAAGAAAUCUGACCAAAGGGAUGAAAUGCAUGUGGGUAGUUAGACACAAUGCUAAUAUAUGUAGAUGAUCUUCUUAUUGUGCAAAUAUAUGUAGAUGAUAUUAUUUUUUGUGCUACUAAUGAGUAUCUAUGCAAGGAUUUUUCCACCACUAUGCAAAGUGAAUUUGAAAUGAGUAUGAUGGGAGAAUUAAAUUUCUUCCUUGGUCUUCAAAUACAUCAAGCCCUUGAGGGAAUUUUUAUAAAUCAAGCAAAAUAUACCAAGAAAUUGCUGAAAAGGUUUGGCAUGGAGGACUCAAAGCAAGUUGGAACUCCAAUGUGCACUUCUACAAAACUUGACAAAGAUGAAGAAGGUAAUCAUGUGGAUGAAAAGCACUAUAGAGGUAUGAUCGGAAGCUUACUCUAUUUAACCGCAAGCAGACCUGAUAUUAUGUUUGCUGUUUGCUUGUGUGCUAGAUUUCAAUCUUGUCCAAAAGAAUCACAUUUAAAUGCUGUUAAAAGAAUUUUUAGGUAUUUGAAAGGUACAUUGGACUAUGGUCUUUGGUAUGCUAGAUCUUGUGAAUUUGCUUUAUAUGGAUAUUCGGAUGCGGAUUUUGGUGGUUGUCGUGUGGACAGAAAAAGUACUAGUGGAACUUGUCACUUUCUUGGUAAUUGCUUAGUUUCUUGGUUUAGCAAAAAGUAAAAUGCAAUAUCUCUGUCUACAACCGAAGCGGAAUAUAUUGCUGCUAGUGCAUGUUGUGCUCAACUUUUAUGGAUGAAGCAUACCUUGAAUGAUUUUGGAUUGUUAUAUGACUGCAUGCCUAUAUUCUGUGAUAAUACUAGUGCUAUUAAUUUGACCAAAAAUCCAAUUCAACAUUCUAGGACAAAGCAUAUAGAUAUAAAGCACCACUUUAUUCGAGAUCUUGUUCAAAAAGGUGAAAUUUGUGUAAAUUAUGUUUGUUCUAAAGAUCAAUUUGCUGAUAUUUUUACCAAAGCUUUGCCAUUAGAUCAGUUCAUUCAUCUAAGAUCAAAAUUAGGAAUAAUCGAAAAAUCAUCUUAAAAUUUCUCAAAGUCUUCGGACGUCCGAAAGAAGAUGAACGGACGUCCGAUAAUGUUCUUCAGCUAUUUUUUUUCCAGAAAACACCUGUUCGGACGAAGCUGUCGGACACACGACUUCGUUCGGCCGUCCGACAGUGCAACGGCUCACUUUUUAAAAUAACUUUCUCCCUCAUUUGCUUCAAACUCUUUUUCUUCUAUUUCCUCUCGGACGACAACUCUCUCAUUUCUCACUCUCAAAUUCAUACCAUUCUGAAGCUCUCAUUCCCAAAUUGACUCAAACAAAACUUUUCCUGGUUGAUUGCGAUUCAUUUCUCCUGAUCAUUUCACCGAAUCGCUUAACAAUUCGUAAAUUCCCAAAUUUCCCUCAAAACCCUACUUUCUCAUAACCGCUCUGUCAAAUCUUGUUCAAGGCCUUUUUGUCCCAAAAUUUCUGUGCGAUUCACUUCCCUACUACUGUGUGCAUCAUUUGCAUCCUUCAUUCCACACAUUUCGCACAAUGGUGAAUCUAAGAGGAGGAAAGGUUACUGCCGGACGCAAGCAUCCACUCAGGGAUGAGGAGGAGGAUCUUCCUACGGUCAAACGUUCAUCCAAACGCUUCAAGAGAGGAGCCGUAAAAGGUCAAAUGUCACGGCCUACUCCACAACCCACCUCUCAGCCUGAAUCUGGACAGGGAACCUCUUCUCAACCGCCUCCAAAAUCAGCCACACUCCCUACAUUCUUUGAUGAUGCUGCAAAAGACAAACACUCCUGGAUAUCCCAGAAAGGUGUCAUCCCUCAACGAACUGUAAACUCUUCUGAAUUUCGCCACAUAGGUUUAGAAUCCAUUCUGAGUCUAUUUGCUUUCCAGAAAUGGUCACAUCUCGUUUCUAUGCCCAAUGUUUAUUACCCUGAAAUGCUGUAUCAAUUCUUUGCUAAUCUUAGGAAAGGCACUGAUCAGACUGAGAUUAUGUCCAGGGUUAAUGGGGUAGACUUAGUCUUUGAUUCUGAAAUUGUGAAUGAUAUUUUAAAAACUACUAUUGAACCUGGAUGCAAGGAUAAAAUUGCAAAUUUCUUUUCCUAUGAAGAGCACCCUACUGCUGAUAAUCAUUUUGAUGGGGCUAAAAUGUUGACUUAUUUUAAAAGAAGUUUUUCCUCCCCUGCUGAUGCUAAACUGAAUGAUCUUGCUCCUGUGAAUCUAAUUGCCUUUUCAAUCAUUUCAAACCUGCUUGUACCCACUGAUGGCCAUAGAACUGAUGCAAACAAAAUGGAGUUGUAUCUCUUUUACUGUUUUCGAGAAAAAAUUCGUAUUGAUUUUGGUUUUGUCAUGUGCAAGUUUUUACUUCGCUAUGCCACUGAUUCUCGCAGAAAAUUAUCUUAUGGAAAGUUUCUUCAAAAGAUUUUUGAGUUUUACAAAGUUCCAAUUCUAGGUGUUUGUCCCAAAGAAGCAUCUUCUUAUGCCUUUACCAAAGGAUAUUUUGAAAGGAAAAAUCUUGUUUUUAAAGAUAAUCUGUGGGCUUAUAAGGGGGCAUCAUCUAGUGAACAGAGGUCUAAGACUGCACAUGAUCCUUCAUCUGUUUCACUCACUCCCAUUCAUCCCAGGAAGUCUGCCACUAAAGCAGCUUCCUCCUCCAAUGAUGAAGUGAUUGAGCUCCUUCGUGAACUCAAACAGCAUGUUCUUCUUCUAGAACAUGGUCUAAUGCUCACCAUGUCCUCUGAGCAACAAACAGCCUUCCUAGACAAAAAGAACCUUCUUUUUCCCCCACCUGUGGUUGAGGAAGUUUCUCAUGACAAAGAGCCACACCCCACUGAUCCAAGCUCAUCAAUUCCAGACCCUGGUUCAUCAACUCCUGUGACUCCUCAUGGCCCUUCCACAUCAGAUAAAGGCAAGGCACCAGUUGAAGAGGCUGCUGAAGCUGAUGAAGAAACUGAAGAGGAGGACCUCUCCCAAUAUCAGCUCUCUCGAAGAACACCUGGAUCCACAUAGUUCACCAUUUAGGACAUUUGCAUUUUGUUUGUCUAUUUCAUGUGUUUGUGGUGUUCAACAAUGGAUAUGUAGAUGAAUUCAACAUUUGGUUAUGAUUAUGUUUAUGUUUCUUUUGGUACUGUUUGAUAGAUGUUUAAGUAUUUUGAAUGAUGAUUGUAUGGAUGUAAUGAAUUUUUUUUUGGUUUGCAUUGAUGAAUGUGUUUGUGGAUGAGAUGGAUGUGAUUGAUUGCCCUUUUGUGAUGACAAAAAGGGGGAGAGGACUGGAUUGAUUGAUGAUUGAUGAUGUUGGAUUGAUUGAUUGAUUGAUGAUUUGAUUAAAUUUGGAUUGGCUGAUGGAUUGAAUUGGUAAAAUGUUGGAUGUUGGCUGCUUAAUUGUCAUAUUUUGGAUAAUUGUUUAAUUUGGUUGGGCAGCCAAGUGAGGGGGAGUUUUUCAAAAUUUUUUCACUAAGUAAGGGGGAGUUCUUGUCUAUUGAGAAAGGGGGAGUUUUUAUUGCAAUCAUCAAAUCUCAUUUCAAACCUUUGUUUUGUCAUCAUCAAAAAGGGGGAGAAUGUUAUUCUUGGUUUUGAUGAUCACAAAGGACUUUGAAAUGUUUAUCUAACUCUCUUCAAAUAUAAGUGCUUUUUGCCUAUCAAAGAAUCAGGUACGAAUAUGUCAAGAAAUGAAAAUCAACCAAAAGAAGAAGCAAAAACAGGACACUCAUGUCGGACGUCCGAAGGAAUCGGUCGGACGUCCGAAAGGAUGAAGAACAUCAAGAAGGAAAUUCUAUCGGACGCUCGUGAGGAAGCAUCGGACGUCCGGAUGGAUCGGACGUACUCUUCGGACGCACAUCGAUCGGGUCGGACGUCCUAAAAAUUCCACAAAGUGUUGAUGACUCUCUGCCAAGACUCUGUCGGACGCUCGUAAGGAAGCAUCGGACGUCCUGAAGGAUCGGACGCAUGCUUCGGACGCACAUCAAUCUCAUCGGACGUCCUAAAAAUUCCACGAAGAUUUGAUAACUCUCUGGACGACGUUCGGACACAGAAGCUCGGACGAUAAAAUCCCAUCGGACGUCCGAACAACAACUUGACUGGUUUUCGGACGAUGGGAUCGGACGAUGACUAAACCGUCGGACGUCCGACAGCUCCAACGGCUAGCUGACUCUUCAUCUGCCUUCUAUCCGUUGGAAGUAUUAAUGAAGCCCAUUUUUGGUUCCCUUUAAAUACAAACGAUUCUGAAUCAGAUGGGGACUUUUGCACACUUUGUUUACAAGAUCUCAAGAGAUAUUUUAGCUAGAAAAUAGUCUCCAAAGCUAGAUUUGUUCUCCAAGUGGUGUGAAUUUCUUGUGAGCAUUUCUCUUGUGGUUGAAAGUUUCAUUAGUGUAGCUUUGUUGAGGGUUAUCUGAUUGAUUGUAAAACUUCUUAGCUUGACUAAGUGUGGCUUAGGGCAAGGAGGAAGUGCUCCCUCCAUUGUACAUCUAGUUGAUCAUCUUUCAUCAAAGAGAAGUUGCUCAACCUAGUGAUUGGUCUUCAAGUUUGAGGAAAGCUUGGUAGACAAUCAGUUUGAUAUUCUAUCUUAUUCCUUUUUGUUUAAUAAAAUUCUCAUUGCUUAUCUAUACUUGUUUUUCGAAUCAAUAUUGCUAUCUUCUUCUAAUCUAUUUGAUUGAUCAUUACUAGAAAAGAAGGUAAAUUUUUAUUAAGCAAAAAUUGCAUAAAUUUGAUUAAGAUUUUAAUCAACCUAAUUCACCCCCCCUCUUAGGUUGUCUUUGGGCCUUACAGACAGUUUGAAGCGAUCUAAAAUGUUCCGGACAUACAAGCGCACUAAAACAAGUCAAAAUUCCAAAAUAAAAAAAGAUGAAAAUCGAAGCCGAACAUCAAUCAAACAUAUACACCCUGAAAUGUAGCAUUUACAAACCAAAAUAGCAUACAAAAGUUAUCCCAUAAGUUUAUACAUGUACGGUUUGCAAAUCUCAACUCAUCGAAUGGGUUGGAUUAAAAUGCGUUUAGGGUUUUGCCCCAAAAGGAGCUAUUCAAAAAAUAUAUAUACAUAAGCUCAACUCGGCAAUCCAUUUCAUCGCCUUUCCAAAAGUAUUCAAUUUCCUGUAAGGAAAAACAAAAGGAAAAGAGUGAGCUUACGCCCAGUGAGACACUAUCACUCAAGCAGCAAAGUUCAUAUAAGCAUCAAGCUUCUCAGUUCAAUACAUUGAAAGUAAGCCAAGGCACACAUCAAUAGUGUUGAUAAAAGGAUACGGUCGGCUCUCAAGAGCCCCUUUCCUCGCUUGCAUUCUUGAUCUGACCUCAUUGACCCUCCGUCAAUGUUUAAGAGUAACCAACCGUAGACUCCACUUUAUUUCCAUUCCUUCCACCCAACAUACCCUUACCGGGCCCGAACUCCAAACAGUAAAAAUUUGGUAAUACUCGAGUAUACCGGAAUCAAGAGUCUCACUACUACAAGAUUCCAUAUAACAGUCCCCAUGGCUCGUCGACUUUCACGACCAAGCCCUCGCUGGCUCGAUUCAAUCGAUUACCAAUGGGGUUGAGCUCCGUAGUAACAGUAAAAGCCGUUGGAUCCUCGUCCAAACGACACCAAAUCCAGUUUUCCAUGUACAUUUCAAGUACUACAGUGAAACAGUAGACAGUCGAAUAUAUUACAAAAGGGGUGAAGGCGAUCAAGUACACCCUCACUUUAAUCAGGUUCAACAGUGCAAAUAAGCCUUCAGGGCAUCAAGUUCAAUAUAAUAAAGCCACAUUGUAAACAAACAAGUGAGUAGUACACUCAUCAAGCAAGCAAAUGAUGUUUCAUACACUUUCGCCCAAAGAGCGUCUUGAACCACCGUCACGUCCUAAAACAUUCAAAUAAGCAUAAUAACACUCGAUUACAAGUCACAAACCAAUUCCACAUACUACCAAAAACAAGGCUUCACUAGCACGUAUAAGUACUAAAGCAAAACUAGGGAAAGUCCGAAAAUGAAAGUUAAACCUUAAAACCUAAAAACAGUUUUGACGUCAUUUAGCGUAUUGGCCACAGCCGGAACUAAGAUUAUCGGAUGGAGGUACAAGAUACACCAUUUUGAAGCUAACAGAAAGGGCUACAAAGUUGAAGAAGGCCACUUAGUCCAGUUUGUAGUGCAACUAGGUCAAAAUGUCAAUGUACCAAACCAGAACCGCAAAAAUAGGUUAACAAACCGCAUUCUGGUUAAUGAACCGUAAUUCAGGCUACGUAAGUCCAAAUCAAGUGAUUCCAAAGCCAUCCGAAAGCUAAAACACCAGGAUACAUUUCUUAAGAAGAUACCAACAACCAAAUCAGAAGUAUUCCCAACCAAAUUAACCAAUUACAGAAGCAAUUAUCAAGUUCGGGUAGAAACAUGGCAGCAAGGUUAUUUCAGUCUUUUUAUAAUCUACGCUACUCCGAUUGGCCUGAAAGUUUGCAGGCAUCUCUAAAAUAUCAUUCCCCACAACUUUCAUGUUUUAACCCAAGGCUAAUUCGGUCUCUAACUAUGAUGAAUAGUGCCGGGUAGAAAGGGGGUAAUCGAAACCCUAACUUCCGAAAUUUUCGUUCAAUGCGAAAAUUUUUCGCAAUUAACCACCACUCACAUCCUCUAGCUUCAUUUUAGAUCAUUUUCAACCAUCAUACAUGGCCACACAAUAAUAAUCAUAUGAAAACAGAAAAAUCACAAAUAAAUAUAAAACUUCACCAAUUUCAUCCAAAAAUCACAAAAUAACCACUAAAAUCAUCACUUAAGCUCACAUUAAUCACUAAUUAAGCAUUAUUGAAAAGAGAAAAGGAGUUCCCCCACCACUCACCUUACCAAGUCAAGAAAGAAGCAACUUAACACCUUAAGCUUCCAAACCACUUCACAACCAAGCUUAACUCCACCAAACUAAGAGGUUUCAUGGAGUAAUUUGAAGAUUAUUCGGUUUACUUGAGAGAUUGGGCAAGAUUGAAGACAAGAUUGUGGAGAGUUUUCUUUUCUUUUUUUGCUUGGAGAGGGCCAGCCAAGGAGAGGGAGAAAAUGGUGAAUUUUUGGUGAAUUUUGAUAUUAAUUUGGUAAAGGCAUGAAUAAUGGUCAAAAUGGCAAGAUUUAAUCAUAUGGUGACACUUGUCACCCCAUUAAAUGCAUGAAUAUCCUUUUGUUCCCUCGCACUCUAAUCCAUAUGGUAUCCUCUAAUUAUCUCUUAGCACCCGAUAAUUUAAACCCAGUAUCCAAAACUUAAUCUAGUUGGCCGAAUUUUUCCGAACUUUCCGCACUAGCGGGUCCCACGUCCGGUAUACGCUCUUAAUUUCUCAAAAACUAACCGAUACUAGAAAAAUCACAUAAAAACUAUAUUUACUGAUAAAAAUUAUUUAGAAAAUUUUCCUAAUAAAGAAAAUGCAGAAAACAAGCCAUUAAAUAGAAUAAAACCCUAGAAAAUGAGAAAAUUACUGGUUCUCACACUCUCUCCCCCUUAAAAGAAUUUCGCUCUCGAAAUUUUCUCACCUUGAUUCACGAAUAGUUCUGGAUAUUUCUUUUGCGUCUCCUCUUCCACCUCCCAGGUACCUUCCUCUACCCCAUGGUUUUUCCACAGUAUCUUAACCAAUGGAAUUUGCUUGUUUCUCAACUCUUUAACUUUCCGGUCAAGCACUUGGACAGGUUUCUCUUUGUAAGCGAGCGAUUCAUCUAUAUCGAUUUCUUCUGGUCGCAAGAUGUGGGAGGGGUCGGGAUAGUACUUCUUAAGCAUCGAGACGUGGAAGACGUCGUGAAUUCGAGAGAGACUGGAUGGCAGUUCUAACCGAUACGCUACCGUACCUAUCCUCUGGAGAAUCUUGUAAGGUUCAACGAACCUCGGUUGGAGCUUCUUUCCUCUACCUGCCGUGAGGCUCCGUAAUGGCGUGACUUUAAGAAAUACAUAGUCCCCAACUUCGAACUCCAAAUCUUUCAUUCGAUUGUCCGCGUAACUCUUCUGUCGACUUUGAGCUGUUUGAAGUCGUUGCCGUAUCAACUUAACCUUUGCUCGAGCUUCCUCCAUCCAAGGAAUAGUUGCUGGAUCCAGUGCCUUCCUCUCGCCAACUUCAUCCCAAUAGAUUGGUGACCGACAUUUUCGUCCGUAUAGUGCCUCGUAGGGAGCCAUUUGAAUCGACGAAUGGUAGCUGUUGUUGUACGCAAACUCUACUAAGGUCAUGUGUUGACCCCAAUUGCCUCUAAAAUCCAGAAUGCAAGUUCGUAGCAUGUCCUCGAGUGUUUGGAUUGUUAGCUCCGACUGUCCAUCCGUCUGAGGGUGAUAGGUCGUGCUCAAGUUGAGUUUAGUCCCCAGAGUUUCCUAGAAUUUCUGCCAAAACCGAGAUACGAACCGGGGAUCUCUAUCGGAGACGAUACUCACAGGAACGCCAUGUAGUUUCACAAUCUCAUCCAUGUACAGUUGAGCUAACUUGUCCAUGGAAUACUUCAUGUUCACCGGCAAGAAAUGGGCCGACUUGGUUAAUCGAUCGACGAUCACCCAAAUGGCAUCGUGUCCUCGUUGCGUUCGCGGUAAACCUGAAACGAAGUUCAUUGUGAUGUUUUCCCACUUCCACUCGGGUAUCUCAAGGGGUUGUAACAAGUCCGAUGGUUUUUGAUGUUCCGCCUUCACCUGUUGGCAAACGAGACAUUUCUGUACAUACAGAGCUAUUUCCUUCUUCAUAUUGUCCCACCAAUAGGUUCCUUUCAGGUCUUGGUACAUCUUACUACUACCCGGAUGGAUUGUGUACUUAGACCGAUGGGCUUCCUCUAAAAUCUUCGUUUUCAAUGAUUCAUCCUUCGGCACCACUAUUCGGUUCCGGUAUCUUAAAAUACCCUCAGGACUAAAGUUGAAAUUGGUUGUUUCUCCUUUUCCUACUUUCUCUCCCCACUUCUGCACCAUCAAAUCCCCCUUUUGUGCUUCUUUAAUGCGUUCCAGUAGAGCGGAUGUCACUUUAACAUUGCCAAAACUCACCUUAUGACUCCCAAGGCAGGGUUUCCACUCACAAACGGAUUCUAACAAAUCUCACUCUUUGAUCAUCAACCCUGCUACUUGAACCUUACGACUUAAGGCAUCGGCUACCACGUUUGCCUUCCCCGGAUGGUAGUUGAUUGUGCAGUCGUAAUCCUCCAAAAAUUCCAUCCACCGUCGUUGCCUCAUGUUCAAUUCCUUCUGUGAGAAGAGGUACCUAAGACUCUUGUGGUCCGAGUAAACUUCAAAAGUCACCCCAUAUAGGUAAUGUCUCCACUUUUUCAGCGCGAAAACAACGGCGGCUAGCUCUAGAUCAUGAGUCGGGUAAUUUUGCUCGUGUGGUUUCAACUUUCUAGAAGCAAAAGAUAUCACAUUACGGUUCUGCAUUAAAACGCAUCCCAGGCCUUCUCGCGACGCGUCAGCAUAAACAGAAAACCCGUCUACUCCGUUAGGCAAGGUUAGAACUGGAGCCAUGGUCAAUCUCUUCUUUAACUCUUGAAAACUUGUCUCACAUCGGGCAUUCCAGACGAACCGACCAUGUUUCUUCGUCAGGUCAGUUAAGGGACCUGCUAAUUUGGAGAAGUCUUUAAUGAAACGUCGGUAAUACCCAGCUAGUCCUAGAAAACUGCGGAUCUCCAUGGGGUUUUCUGGUCUCUUCCAAUUGGUCACAACCUCUACUUUCGCCGGGUCAACCGAGAUGCCUUCUUGGGAGAUCACGUGCCCUAGGAAACUGAUUUUCUCCAGCCAAAACUCGCCUUUACUGAAUUUGGCGUACAACUGAUGUUCCCUUAGGGUUUGCAGGACGGUUCUCAAAUGCUGCCCGUGCUCCUCGCGAGUUUUGAAGUAGACCAAGAUGUCAUCAAUAAACACAACAACGAAUCGGUCCAAAUAGGGCUUAAAAACCCCAUGCAUUAAGUCCAUGAAGGCGGCAGGAGCAUUGGUUAGUCCGAAGGGCAUAACUGCCAACUCGUAAUGCCCAUAUCUCGAGUUGAAAGCGAUUUUCGGAAUAUCCUCCCUCCUAAUCAACAACUGGUAAUACCCCUGGCGGAGGUCCAGUUUCGAGAAGACCACUGCUCCUUGCAGCUGGUCGAACAACUCAUCAAUGUGGGGCAGUGGAUGUUUAUUCUUAAUCGUGACGUUGUUCAGGCCCUGGUAGUCGAUACACAUCCUCAAACUACCGUCCUUUUUCUUUACAAACAGGACAAGAGCUCCCCAAGGAGACCCACUCUCUUGAAUGAAUCCCCGCUCCAGAAGGUCUUGUAAUUGCAACUUUAGCUCCUUGAGCUCCGCAGGGGCCAUUCAGUAUGGUGUUUUUGAGAUAGGUGAGGUUCCGGGUAGCAGGUCUAUCUUGAAUUCUAUCUCUCUUUCCGGAGGCAGGGCUACUAACUCAUCAGAAAAUACAUCCGGAAAUUCCCUUACAAUGGCCACGUCCUCUACCUUUAACUUAUCCAUGGGGGUAUUAAUCAGGAAGGCUAAAAAUCCUUGUGCCCCUCUACUUAACAGUUUUCUAGCCCGAAUGCCCGAGAUCAGGGCAGAUGAGGCUAACCUACCCUUUAUGUCCAACCUUAAGGUUGCCUCACCAGAGAUGCGAAAUUCUACCACUUUCGUUUUACAAUCCAGUUGGGCAUUAUACUUGGCUAGCCAAUCCAUACCCAAGAUCACGUCAUAUCCCAUAAUGGACAUGCUUAUCAAAUCUCCUAACAAUCUCUUUUCUCCUACCCACACUUCACAAUCCCUAUAAACCAUACUAGUAACCAAACGUUGAUUCCCCGUAAGUGUACUAACUUCUAGGUCGUAUGGUAAACUAGCAGGUUUUAUAUCGAUGCCACACAUGAAAUCAGGGUUAAUAAAGGAAUGAGUGGCACCAGGAUCAAUUAAAAUUUUGGCAAAAAGGUAGAAGAUAGGGAUCGUACCUUCUACGACCUCCGAGGAAUCUGGGACCUGUUGGGGCUCUAAUGAAUACACUCGAGCUGGCACCUUAGAUUUGGACCCAUCUCUCUUAACUGGUCCAGCAUUGGCCCUCGGCGGUGGUUGGCUCCCCUUUCCAUCUUGUUUUAGGACCGGGCAAGUAGCCAACUGGUGGUCUGCGCUUCCACAUCGCAGACAUUUGCCCUCCUUCCUCCAACAGUUAUCUUCCGUGUGGUUUGGCUUCCCACAAUGCCCACAGGGACCGCGAGGUGCUGAAGCUGAGCCUCCUUGAAAAUUUCCUUAUUGGCCUCGCCCAGCUUGGUCACCCCUAGAGGGAGUCCCUCUGCCUGUACCUGACUGUCGUCCACCUCCCAUUCCUCGUCCAAACUUGGAGGGGGUACCUUUGUCCCCUUGCCCCGAACUGCUUCCAGGAAAGCCGCGCUUUUUCGCCUGGAAGUUCCUUACCUGCAACCUAGCACUCUCUACCCGUUGGGCCUUCUCUACGACCUCGCUAAAAGCAUUGAUUUGAGCCACUGCGAGGUCCUUCUGGAUUUCGACAUUGAAGCCCUGGAUAAAGUGCCUGAUCCGCCGUUGUUCGGUCAUGAUCAGCUCAGGAGCAAAUUUGGACAGGCGGGUGAAUUGGCUCUCGUAUUCCGCCACCGACUGGGCCCCUUGGCGGAGUCGGAUAAACUCGUCUUCCUUCCUCUCCUGAACUAGAGGAGGGAAGAAUUUCGCGUUGAAUUCCCUUAUAAAAUUUACCCCAAGUCCUGGGCGUUUGUUCCCUUUCCCAUUUUUGUCGAAUGACGUUCCACCAGGACCGGGCCGCCCCCUCUAGUUGAAAGACAGCAAAAGUCACCUACCUUUCUUCAGUGUAGUGCUAGGCCGUAAAAAUAUCGACUAUCUUCUCAAACCACCUUUCGGCGACAUCCGGAUCGGGCCCCCCAAUAAACUUGGGUGGAGGAAACUUUUGAAAUCGUUCGAGGGCUCUAUCUUCGCUCUCGACGUGGUUGCUAGGGUUUCCAGGGUUAGGAGUAGGGUUCUGACCCUGUUGCUGCACCACUUGUGCCAGCAGGUUAGUUAUUUGUUGCAUAGCGGCAGCUAUUUGCACGUUGGGGUCAGGAUUAGGUCCAGAUGAGAUUUCCCCAAUACCCCUGUCCGGCGUAGGUUGUCUAUUCCCGCGCCCACGUCCCCGUCCACUCCGUGUACCUUCCAUGAAAUCUACUUGGUCUAGGCAAUGUAACUAGAGCAAUAAGUUACGGUAAAUAAGAACCCAAAGCUUUAAUAACAAAGCAUAUAUAUACAUUCCAAAUAAGUCAAACAAAGCACAUAACAUCAAGCAGUCAAGUCGAGUACAGUCACGUCAAGUACAAACAUAAGCACUCCACAAGGGAAUGACCUCAUCAAAAGAAAUAUACACGUAGCUAAUCCAAACGUACAAAACGAUUAGCUAAGGUUCCUUUCCCUAUCCGCCCUAUAUACAAACAACCAUCCAAAAGACCUAGGAGUCAUGAUCUAAUCCUUCGUUGGGCUAGUAGACCCACCCGACGGGGUGGAUCCAACCCCAGCCCCGAGCCCCGCACACGAGGCCUCGUCGCUCUCGUCAUUGGUCAAAUCAUCACAGAGGUGUAGAAUCGACUCGGCUCGACCCCUAACCUUCCGCGCUCGCUUAGUCUCACGCUCACGUGCCUCCCUAAGCUGAGUGCACAGGUCAUCCACCCGAUCCUCUACCUCAAGCACAUCGUACUCUAAAUCCUUGAUUCGUUUGGCUUGUUUCUCAUUGUCCGCCCUCAACUGAUUGACCUCGGUCUCAAGCCUAGAGUUAUCUGUGGCCAAAUCCUUACGUUCCUCCGCCACAGCCAACACUAAGGCAUUAGGGUAGGCAUACGUGUGUCGACACUCACAACGUCGGAGGUGGUUAGCCGGGUUCCAACGCACAACGGCCCCUCUAGGCCGGAUCUGGUACGGAAUCACCGGAAGCACCCCCUGCGGUCGCUCCCCAGUAGGGCUAUCACUAGGCUCACCACUUCCGUCCAUCCUACACCAAAAGAAUAAUUAGCAUCAAUAAUCUUAACAGACACAAUCAAAAGAAUCCUCAAAUCGAGCAUUUCUCAUACACCCAAGCCAAUUCAAACCUAGGCUCUGAUACCACCUGUGACAGCCCCACCUUUCCCUAAGACGAACCAAAGGGGUUAGCGGACUGCCUGCUCAACUCUCGCCAGGACUAACGGGACAGUUUGAAGCGAUCUAAAAUGUUCCGGACAUACAAGCGCGCUAAAACAAGUCAAAAUUCCAAAAUAAAAAAAAAUGAAAAUCGAAGUCGGACAUCAAUCAAACAUAUACACCCUGAAAUGUAGCAUUUACAAACCAAAAUAGCAUACAAAAGUUAUCCCAUAAGUUUAUACAUGUACGGUUUGCAAAUCUCAACUCUUCGAAUGGGUUGGAUUAAAAUGCGUUUAGUGUUUUGUCCCAAAAGGAGCUAUUCAAAAUAUAUAUAUACAUAGGCUCAACUCGGCAAUCCAUUUCAUCGCCCUUCCAAAAGUAUUCAAUUUCCUGUAAGGAAAACAAAAGGAAAAGAGUGAGCUUACGCCCAGUGAGAUACUAUCACUCAAGCAGCAAAGUUCAUAUAAGCAUCAAGCUUCUCAGUUCAAUACAUCGAAAGUAAGCCAAGGCACACAUCAAUAGUGUUGAUAAAAGGAUACGGGCGGCUCUCAAGAGCCCCUUUCCUCGCUUGCAUUCUUGAUCGGACCUCAUUGACCCUCCGUCAAUGUUUAAGAGUAACCAACCGUAGGCUCCACUUUACUUCCAUUCCUUCCACCCAACAUACCCCUACCGGGCCGGAACUCCAAACAGUAAAAAUUUUGUAAUACUCGAGUAUACCGGAAUCAAGAGUCUCACUACUACAAGAUUCCAUAUAACAGUCCCCAUGGCUCGUCGACUUUCACGACCAAGCCCUCACUGGCUCGAUUCAAUCGACUACCAAUGAGGUUGAGCUCCGUAGUAACAGUAAAAGCCGUUGGAUCCUCGUCCAAACGACACCAAAUCCAGUUUUCCAUGUACAUUUCAAGUACCACAGUAAAACAGUAGACAGUCGUAUAUAUUACAAAAGGGGUGAGGGCGAUCAAGUACACCCUCACUUUAAUCAGGUUCAACAGUGCAAAUAAGCCUUCAGGGCAUCAAGUUCAAUAUAAUAAAGCCACAUUGUUAACAAACAAGUGAGUAGUACACUCACCAAGCAAGCAAAUGAUGUUUCAUACACUUCCGCCCAAAAAGUGUCUUGAACCACCGUCACGUCUUAAAACAUUCAAAUAAGCAUAAUAAGACUCGAUUACAAGUCACAAACCAAUUCCACAUACUACCAAAAACAAGGCUUCACUAGCACGUAUAAGUACUAAAGUAAACUAGGAAAAGUCCGGAAAUGAAGGUUAAACCUUAAAACCUAAAAACAGUUUUGACGUCAUUUAGCGUAUUGGCCACAGCCAGCACUACGAUUAUCGGAUGGAGGUGCAAGAUACACAGUUUCGAAGCUAACAGAAAGGGCUACAAAGUUGAAGAAGGCCACUCAGUCCAGUUUGUAAUGCAACUAGGUCAAAAUGUCAAUGUACCAAACCAGAACCGCAAAAAUAGGUUAACAAACCGCAUUCUGGUUAACGAACCGUAAUUCAGGCUACAUAAGUCCAAAUCAAGUGAUUCCAAAACCAUCCGAAAGCUAAGACACCAGGCUACAUUUCUUAAGAAGACGCCAACAACCAAAUCAGAAGUAUUCCCAACCAAAUUAACCAAUUACAGAAGAAAUUAUCAAGUUCGGGUAGAAACAGGGCAGCAAGGGUAUUUCAGUCUUUUCAUAAGUUACGCUACUCCGAUUGGCCUGAAAUUUUGUAGGAAUUUCUAAAAUAUCAUUCCCUACAACUUUCAUGUUUUAAUCCAAGGCUAAUUCGGCCUCUAACUAUGAUGAAAAGUGCCGGACAGAAAGGGGGUAAUCGAAACCGUAACUUCCGAAAUUUUCGUUCAAUGCGGAAAUUUUCCGCAAUUAACCACCACUCACAUCCUCUAGCUUCAUUUUAGAUCAUUUCCAACCAUCAUACAUGGCCACACAAUAAUAAUCAUAUGAAAACAGAAAAAUCACAAAUAAAUAUAAAACUUCACCAAUUUCAUCCAAAAAUCACAAAAUAACCACUAAAAUCAUCACUUAAGCUCACAUUAAUCACUAAUUAAGCAUUAUUGAAAAGAGAAAAGGAGUUCCCCCACCACUCACCUUACCAAGUCAAGAAAGAAGCAACUUAACACCUUAAGCUUCCAAACCACUUCACAACCAAGCUUAACUCCACCAAACUAAGAGGUUUUAUGGAGUAAUUUGAAGAUUAUUCGGUUUACUUGAGAGAUUGGGCAAGAUUGAAGACAAGAUUGUGGAGAGUUUUCUUUUCUUUUUUUACUUGGAGAGGGGCUGGCCAAGGAGAGGGAGAAAAUGGUGAAUUUUUGGUGAAUUUUGAUAUUAAUUUGGUAAAGGCAUGAAUAGUGGUCAAAAUGGCAAGAUUUAAUCAUAUGGUGACACUUGUCACCCCAUUAAAUGCAUGAAUAUCCUUUUGUUCCCUCUCACUCUAAUCCAUAUGCUAUUCUCUAAUUAUCUCUUAGCACCCGAUAAUUUAAACCCAGUAUCCAAAACUUAAUCUAGUUGACCGAAUUUUUCCGAACUUUCCGUACUAGCGGGUCCCACGUCCGGUAUACGCUCUUAAUUUCUCAAAAACUAACCGAUACUAGAAAAAUCACAUAAAAACUAUAUUUACUCAUAAAAAUUAUCUAGAAAAUUUUCCUAAUAAAGAAAAUGCAGAAAACAAGCCAUUAAAUAGAAUAAAAUCCUAGAAAAUGAGAAAAUUACGUGUUCUCACAAUAAGCCUAGUUAGGGAUAGAACUAGAAGGAUCCACGAUACCAAGCCACCUCAUUCGAAUGAUGAUAAAUUCCAAAUUCCAUUCAAAAGCCUAAGCUACUCCCUAAAUUCUUAGACUAAAACUUCCAAUGAAUACAAGUUUCCUCACUAAAUUCAAGGUGAAAGUUCUUAUACAUGCUAGGGUAAUAAGUCAAACCAAAAGAAGUGCAAAAGAUGUCUCAUUUUUAAGUUCAAAAUGGAGUCCAAAAUUGUUCAAAUGGUUCAACUUUUCUUCCGGAAUUUCGGCAAGCAAAAUAAUGGAAAAAGCAAGGUUUCAAACCCUUGAACUCACCAGAUGACCAUUUAGAUUUUCGAAUCUUGACUCACCUCCAACCUAACCUAAAGAGUAAAGUCUUAUAGUAUUUUGUAAGCAAAAAUUGUGCUACAACCUCAAGCACCAAGAUCACAUUGCACGUAAUAUACAAUCAAAUCCCACAGUUUGGCAUCCAAAACUUUUAACCCUAGGACACUCUAUAAAGUUUUGAAACCUAAGCUCUGAUAUUAACUGUGACGCCCCCGCUUCUCUCUAAGACGAACCAAAGGGUGUCAGCGGGACGCCUGUCUAUCUCUCGCCAGGACUCGGUACAAUUCAAAUCCAAACUUAAAGAUAAUACCCGAUAAUACAAGUCCAAGUAGAGAAAGGUCGCUUCCUUAAAUAAACUUUCAAAUCUUACAUCACAAGUUCUCAAUAGUAAAUAACAUUCCCAAAAUGUACAGUCAUUAUAAUUCGACUAGUCAAUUACAUCCCAUGAUUCUAACCAAAAGCAAUCAAGUUGACUUUUCUCCCCAACCUUCAAUCCGACCCUAUUAAGGAAAACAAAACUAAUGGGGUGAGCUGACGCCCAGUGAGGUCAAGAAAGGCAUGCAAGCGAAUAGUUCAAAUGACAAUAACAUUUGUACAAUAAAUAAAACUAUAAAUUUCAAGUAAUUUACAAUUAACAAUUAAACACACUUGAGUAGGAUAUAGGAGCUCUCAGGAGCUAAUUCCUAUUUACUUUGCCAAAGUUCAAUCCAAUACUUCCUCGUGAUGACAUUCCGUCACCCGGUUAGGUAAUCAAGUCCGUAGAACUUCAGUUUUCCAAUUAUGAUUCUGAGUCGACAUGAGAGGUACCUCCCACACGAACCAAUGUGGUACAUGCUAUCACUCAGGGAAUCGAUUAUACGUUUAUGGUUCUGAGUCGACAUGAGAAGUACCUCCCAUCCGAAUUGGUGUGGUACAUGCUAUCGCUCAGUGGUCGAUGAGACAUCGCUCCAAUCGACUUAUACUUUAUUUAUAGUUUUGAGUCGACAUGAGAGGUACCUCCCACCCGAAUCGGUGUGGUACAUGCUAUCGCUCCAAGAACUAAUUAUAGCACUGAGACGGUAUGAGAGGUAUCUCUCACCCAAAUUGGUGUGGUACAUGCUAUCCGUCCAGAGCUCACGAGUUAAACAUAUUCAUGUACAAUUACCAAUUAUUGUUUAUGGUUCUGAGUCGACAUGAGAGGUACCUCCCACCCGAUUCGGUGUGCAACAUACUAUCGUUCAGGGAAUCGAUUAUAGCACUGAGAUGGUAUGAGAGGUACCUCCCAUCUGAAUCGGUGUGGUACAUGGUUCCGCUCAGAGCUCAUGAGUUAAACGUGUUCAUGUACAAUUACCAAUCAUAUGUAUUCAGCUAUUAAGUAUCACGUAGUUCAAAGAGAGAGGGGACAAAGGCAUUCCCACGAGUAAAAUAUGAUUGGUUGAUAAGAUUUACUUCAAUCGACGUCGAGUCAGCACAAAUGUAAUUUGCAAUGGCAACACUUCACUUAAUACACAUAACAAUUCACUUCACACAAUUCGAAUAUCAAAUCACAUAGCACAAUUCAAUUGCGGCAUCACUUAAGGGAGAACGAGUGCGAUAAAGUACACACUCGUCUCAACAAUUCCAUAAUACUCAUUUAACAAUUAAAGCAUUUAUCAACCAUUCAUGCACUUGACACUCACCAUGUAAAAUAAGGAAGAAAUGUCCACUCGAGGGUUCAGGCAUCUACCGUGGGAUCCUCUUGAAGGUCCUCUUGUGUGCUUGAGCAAUCAAUGAUUAACUAUUACGCACUAUCUCUUAAAACCCCUAAUUAUCGAAGAAGAUUGUACACUUGUACAAUCUAGAAAAAUAUCAUGAAAAUGAUCCUUAAUUACUCGUAAAUCGAGACUCAAAAGCGGGGUUUUAGUAAUACAAGGAAAUCUGAUUUUCAUCUUUAAAAUCAAGUAUAAAACGAUCCAGCGAUAUCGAAGGAAAAUGGAGAGUUCUAAAUAUUCAAUUUCCCUAAGUUUGGAAAUUUCAGAUUUGACAAACAAUCUUUGAAAAAUCGUAUCUCACUCUUGGUAGGUCCAAAAUUGGAAACUUGGUUCCGUUGGAAAUUACUUCCAAAGUACUAAAAGUUUCUAGAAGACACUUUUUCAUGAUUUCAGAUGGAAGACAUUCAAAUUUUGGCUUAAAGUCGCUGAUUUGGGCUAUCAAGACAGUUUCGGGGUUGAUUUUUGGUCAAGUUUGAAAAUUCGGCAAAAUUUAUAGAAUGCGAACUAGCCUCUGAAAUUUGAACUCAAUUAGAGUUAUAAUCAAAGUUUAAAACACAACAAGCGGAACAAGAAUCGGAGUUUUGAGCACCAAGAUAUAGCAGCUCAAAUUUGCUGAAAAUUUCUCACUAAACAAGAAUUUCCAGGUUUGAAACGUAAACUUUGGGACUUCAGUUGAGCUUAGAAAUAGACUUGGAAUGGCACCCAAUUUGGUAUGAACACACUACCAUAUGAGGGCCACUCCUCUGUCGAAUUUCAUGCAAAAAUUUGUUCGGAAAGUCAAUUAACAAGACCACUAAAGUUUCAAGAAUUUCCAAGUCAAAUCAGCCGUAUGCUUCCGUUUUCCUUUUUCUAACAUUUGGCCGAUAAAGUCAUCUCAAAUCUGGUCCAUUUAUGAAGGCAAGGUCUAAGAAACAUCCAAUAUACAUUUGGUGGGUGAUUGACACCAAAAGUUUCAAAAUAACAAGUCCUAAUUCGAGCAAAGCCAUUCGGCUAGCUAAAAUGAGGGUUUUCCAUCACUGAUACAAUUUCGUAACUCGGCCACAACUCACUCAAUUCAACUUGGAAUUAAGUAUGGUUAGUGGCGUUGGAAACUACAUUCAUAGAGCUACAAUUUCUGAGAAGAAAGAUUCAGUCCAUAGCUAGCUAAAAUUCAAGCAACAAGUUCCAGCACCUCACUGUCUCUCUAGCAUAGCCGAGAAACAGGACAGGUGACUUUGAAAGGCUGGUACGGUUCACUCAAGUAGAAUCAGGGGAUACAUUUUAUACCGUUAUAAAACUGGAAGUGUCUGGUUUCUAAUGCCAUAAACGGCACUCGAUUUCAAUGUUGGAGUAAAGAGUUAUAGUCGUUUGAAAUUCGCUGCCAGAGAAACCCUGGACACCUUUUUCAGUCAUGAAACCAUUUCGAAAUCUAAACAUUUACCCAACCAAAUCAAGUGAGUUUUGGUGGAAACUUUCCACACAACCUAUGCAAUAUAUAUACAUCAAAAUUAAGUCAAUUUAAUCACGAAAAAUCGCACCAAGGGGCACGGCAAAGACAGGGCAGAACCGGCCCUUCUGCCGUUUCACUUUGUUUGAGUUUUCUUUCCACUUUUCAACUUAUAAUCACUAGUUUAAUUACUAAAUUAACAAAAACAACACCCAACAUCAUCACAUCAGUUCAUCAAGUCCAUUGUGGGAUUUCAUAGAGCCCACUCACAUGAUUUCCAAUAAUAUAGAGGUACCCACAUGAAGCUACAAGCUUCCAAGUGCAAUUUAACUUACAAAAGCUAAGAUUCAAGGGUUGGAUCAUCAUUACCUCCUAGAUGGUGUUAAACCAGAAAUUUUCGGCCCCUUUGAGCUCAAGAAAACCGUGAGAAUGAAACUCUUCUCCUAGCCCAAGAUGAUCUCCAAGUUAUUUGCAAGGUAUGGUAGGAAUUUGAGAUGAUUUGGUGCAAGUUUGAGUGAUGAGAUGAAGAAAUUUUUUGGUCUUCUUCCCUUGGCGUUGCACGGCUGCUUGAGAGAGAAAGGGAGAGUGUUUCUACUGAUGGUUGAGGCUUCCUUGAGAAGCUUAAGAGUUUGUGGCCAAAGUUACUCCAAAAGUCAACUAAGAAUAGUAUGUGUACGCGCGUGUUUCGUGCUUGUUUCCUCUCGGGUUUGUUUCACUUGUGCACUAAACCUCCAAUGUACUUUCUUAAACAUUAUAAUUAUCCACUCUUAGUAGUCUAGAAUAAAUUUCUUAAAUCUCUAUUUAACCAUUUCAACUCGAUAUUCGUGAAAUUCUAAUUCGCGCGCGAUAAGACGAAAUUUACGAGAAAUUCAUAUAACGAUUAUAUAAUUAACUACUACUAAUGUAAUUAAUUAUAAAAUAAUCAUUUUAGAAAUAAAACAUGAGUACUCAAAUCUCCAAAAUUAUUUCACUUUUGAUUCAAAUAUAGCCUCGAUAAACGUGUUUUCGCUAUUUCUUAUCGAACGAGCCUCCGAAAAAUAAAAUUUUCUAACAAAACAUUUUUAAAACAUAAAGGAGACAUUAUUCCAUAUAAAUGGAUUUAAAAUGAUUGAAAUAAAUUAUUCGGAGAAAACGGGUGAAUAAAUAAUUAAUUAAGCCAUUAAAAUAAGAUUAAAAUAAGUAAAAAUUCGGAUCGUCACAUCCUUCCCUCCUUAAAAAAAAUUUCAUCUUCGAAAUUCGUACUCUGAUUUAUGAAUAACCCCAAAUACUUCUUUCGGUCUCCUCUUUAACUUCUCAAAUUGCUUCCCCGAUUCCAUAAUCUCUCUAUAAGACCUUCAUUAGAUUGAUUUGCUUGCGUUUUAACUUCUUCACGUUUCGAUCAAAAUCUUUACCGGCCCUUUCCUCACGUGACCAAUUUUCAUCACUCUUACUUCUCCCAUUCAACCCACACUUAUUGAACUUAACUAUUCUCAGGUGCCGUUCAUGAUCCUAUUAUAGGUCUAUAGACAUUGAGCAAUAUAUUACAUAUACAUAUAAACAGUAAAAUCAAUUAAAAGCAGGGUAAAUUUUCAUAUGACAUAAAAGAUCAUAAUAGUUAUAAUAAGUUCAUCAAAUCGUUUCAAAACAAAAGGGGAAACAACCAAAUCAAAAUAUGCUAAGUCGCAAUAUACAACAAAAGGAUGUCAUCCCCUAUACAAAAGAUUACAACAUCUAAAAGUGCCAGUCUAUGUUAGGGUAAAACCACAAUCCCUAUUUGUCAAGUGGAGUCAAAUUCACCCCUACUCGUAGAGUUUCCACUACUUGGAUCCGUCUUUUAAUCAUCGGCAUUAAUUAUUCCUUCCGGCACUCGAUUGAUUUGCAGUGGAUUUAGCAGGUUAUUGAGAAUUUCUUUCUCCCUUAGAAGUUUUAGGGCAAAUUAAAAACUUAUGCUCGGUACUACCACACCUCAGACAUUUUCCUUGUUUUCUCCAGCACUCGGCCUCAGUGUGGUUAAUCUUGCCUCAGUAUGCACAAGUUACGUGAGAAGUCAUGGCUUGACCAGUUUGAGUUUUCCCCUUUUGUUGAUCUCGCCUACUUUUAUUUCCUUUUGGCGGGGCUUCGCUUGAUGGAGUUUCUCCGGGUAUUUCAGGCAUCUUCACUCCUCCAGCCCCUUUUUCCAUUUUAAGGGGUUGGGUAGACCUCUCGGACUGUUUAGAGGUAUCGCUUGGGUUACCCCUCUUUCUAGCAUGAAAAACCUUAGAUUGAGACUUAGCAUUUUCUACCCUCUAUGCCUUAUCCAAGGCAUCCGUAAAAGUGGUAAUCUGAGGACCUGCUAGGGAUUCUUGGAUUUUUACAUUUAACCCUUGAAUAAACCUCCUUAUCCUUAUCCUUUUCUGGCAAUUCUAAUACUCCUUCUUGGCAUUUCAGAAAGUUGGACGAUGGUAAUACAUGCACAGCUCGUCACACAUUGGAAUGGCUUGGGAGUUUCGACCCGUGGGGAGAAAAUCACUCCCCAAAGACAUAAAAAGAUCCAAACCUUUUGAGUCGAGUCAACGACUAUAAACAAAAGCUCUAGUUGGGAGGCAACCCAAUGUUUUUGUUAAAGAUGUUAAUUUGGUAUGAUUUUAUGUAUAACGCGUGUAAUUAAGUUAGUUUGUUAUUUUUGUGUUAUAGGUUUGGUAAAUGGAGACAAAGAUGACCAUUUGAGGUGGAAAAGGCGAAAUUUGAUCAAGGAACUCAAUCCCGCGAUUUGCGUUAAGGGUGUAUUUGAUCCAUUAAAACCCUAUGGCUAGAGGAAAACAGGUUGUAUUUGUGUUAAGGGUACUAUGGCUAGAGGAAAACAGGUUGUAUAUUCGUCCUCUAGUAGUGAUGAUAUUGAGGUUAGUAAGGAGGUUGAAGUAAGUAAGGAGGAGAGGUCACCUUCUCCUCAACCGGUUAGCCGACAACCAGGUGAGGGCACUUCUCGUAGUGCCGCAGCGUCUGUUUUUGACAGUGCCAAGUUUUCUACUCUGAGGAAUCAAGAGUGGCACGAGGAGCAUGCUGAUUUGGAAUUUAUUUUUGAGAUGCACGUGAGUCCAGAAGUUGAAAUAGUUUAUCGCAUCUCGGAGGCGUUCGAUCAACUUGGUUGGGUGCCGAUUCUCACCUUCCCGACUUACUACUAUCCGGACUUGGUGCGCGAGUUCUACGCCAACAUUGAGUAUAAAGCGCGUCAUAGUGGUGAGAUGGUGGAAUUUUGGGUGCGUGGGAGACGUAUAGUCGUGUUACGUGAGCACCUGGCUGCUAUCUUAGGGUGUAGUGAUUAAGGCCGGGCGGUCGACUUGAAAAAGGGAUUCGUUGCACCAAAUAGGCGGUGGGAUCCGUCACAGGCCAUGAAUAUGUUUAGUUUUGAGUACCAACCUUUUUGAUCCUCAAGAAAGGAGACUGUAAGGAUCGAAAACAACUAAAUGAAAGAGAUAAACAAUGUAAAGAUCAUAAGCGUAACAAUAAGUAAAUAAAAAGGAAAGAAUUGCAAACCAAUUAACUACCCAACUCCUCUUGAGCUUGUAGAUUAAUUCAGACAAGCUACUUCAAAUUGAUGAAUUACAAUCACUCUUGUGUACAAAGGAAGGUUCACCUCCUCCUUGCCCCGAACUCCACUCGGUCAAGUUAGGACGUUUUACUAUCCCUCAGGACAACCCUCACAGAGUUACACUCAUGAAGUAUUCACUCACAAAUGAAAAGCUUACAAUGAAUCUCACACCACUAAGACUACAAAUCUUCUUUGAAGAGUAUUUUCUCACUAAAAUCACUCUAGAUCUUUUGUAUCUUCAGUGUGUCAAAAUUAUUUGAAGUAUCUGACCAACCACUAUUCAUAUAGGAUCAAGAAAGUGCCUCAUUAAAGCUUCCAACGGAUAGAAAGUAGCUGAAGAGUCAACUAGCCGUUGGAGUGUCGGACGUCCGGUACUCCUAUCUUUUGCUUCCGACAGCAGGCAGUGAGUUUGAGAAAUCUUUUUCAAUUCUAUCGGAUGUCCGGUGCAAGCUCUUUGUGCGUCCGACAACAAACAAAGAGAUUUGAGAAAUCAUCUUGUUUCUAUCGGACGUCCGGUGGAGACAUAUUUAGCAUCCGAUGGUUUCGUCAACUUUGAAGGAUCCUAUCGGACGUCCGGUGGUGGUAUUCUUCAUGCGUCCGAAGUUACGCAAUGAUUAUCGGACGUCCGGUACUGUCUUCUUGAGCGUCCGACAGGUUCAGCAUACUCUGUCUUUUUCAAAUAUGCUUAAUCUUUGAACCUGAUUUAUUUCAUUUCUGAAAAAGCCUUUAAGUAGAUGUUAGCAACAUCCAUUUGUUUUGUAAUCAUCAAAAGCUAGGGACCAAGGUCAACAUUCUCCCCCUUUUUGAUGAUGACAAAACAAUGGAUGGAAGAAAGAAAGAAAUUGAGCAUAUAAGCAUAAGUUCCCCCUCACACAAUGCAUCUAAACUUAUAAUUUCAGAAUAACUCCCCCUUACACAUAACAUCCAUUUCUCCCCAUUUUUGUCAUCAUAAAAUGAGAGUAAAAACCAGCAACAAUAACAGAGAAUCCAAUAAUUCAAAUAAAAACAGAGAAAUGACAGCAAUCACAGCAAAUCAUCAUGAGAUCAGCAUUAUUCUUUUUUCUCUCUUUUUGACAUCAUACAAAUUCAGUAAAAAAAUCAAUAAAAACUCAGUUCAAAACAUCAGAAACAUCAAAAGAGAAUUACAAAAAAAAACAUUAUGAACAAGAAUCUCAUCAAUCUUACCAAUAUCUUCUACUUGUUAGAAUUAGUAUCAUGUCUAACUAUCCACAUGCAUUUCAUGCCUUUUUUUAUAUUCUUUCUCACAUAGCAAUCACUUUUCAUGUGACCUUUUUGACAGCAGAAAUUACACAUAAUCAAAGAGUUAUUUACAUGAACAGGUUUAAUAAAUCUUAUUUGUCUUCUCUUAUGAAUAGCAAAUUCGUUGGAAUUAGAAUUCAACCUAUUCUUUUGAAAACCGACUUAUUUCUUGUGUUUAAGCAACUCAUUUAGACCAUCCAUUCUUCUUUUCAAAUCACCUUGUUCCCUUUUGAACAAUUCACAAAGAUUUGUUUUUCUAUCAAGCUCAAAGUAUAAAGCAGUCUCACUCUUUUUGAAGUAAUCAUUUUCAGCUUUCAACUUUUUAUUUUGUUGAAAAAGAUUUGCAUUAUCUCGAAACAAAAAAUUAAUUUUCUGUUUUAACUCCUUGUUUCUAGCAUAGGAUUCUUUCAAACUAUCAUACAAUUUUAUAAUGAAAGAUUCAAGAUCAUCAUCAGUUUCAUCAUCACUUUCAAAUUGAUAGUUACAAGAUAUUACAUCAUCAUCUCCAAUGGCCAUAAAAGUCAAUUGAGCAGAUUUUUCAUCCUCUUCAAUUUCACCAUCGGAGUUGCACUCAUUCCAUGUGAAUUGAAAUUUGUUGAGUCUUGGUUUUCUUCCUUCUUUCUUCUUCAUCACUGGACACUCACUUGCAUAGUGUCCAGGUUGGCCACAUUCAAAGCACUUAUCAGUUUACUUUUUGUUGAACUUUAGCUUCCCUUUGUUUCUCAAGUUGUUGGACUGAUUCGGGAAGGAGUUGCUAGGUCCACCUUUUCUGAAUCUUCUCUUGUUGAGUAUUCUUUUGAAGCCUCGUGUGAUGAGUGCAAUAUCACUAUCAUCACCUUUCAUGUCAUCUUCACUCACAGAGGCUGUAUCAUCUUCAUCUUGUGAAGCCUUCAUAGCAAUAUUCUUUCUCACUUUUGUGUCUUUUUCUUCCUGCACCUUGGACUUGAGUUUUAGCUCAUAAGAAGUCAGUGAAUUAAUGAGAGAUUCAAUAGGCAAGGUAUUUAGAUCUUUGGCUUCCUCAAUGGCAGUCACUUUACUCUCCCAAUCCUUCAAUAAAGCAUUCAGAAUUUUUCUAUUUUUCUCACCUAGAGAGUAUUCUUUUUCCAACACCUCCAAAUCCUUAAUGAGGUCAUUGAAUCUACAAUACAUCUCAUCAAUAUUUUCAUGAGGUUGCAUCUUGAAGGAUUCAUACUUUGUAACUAGAAUGGACUUCUUUUGUUUUCUAACAUUCUCACUACCUUCAUGAAUUUCUCUCAGUUUAUCCCAAAUUUCCUUGGCUGACUUGCAUCCUUUGACUCUAAUAGAUUCAUUUGAAUCUAAAGCACAAUAUAACACAUUCAUGGCCUUUACAUUUAAUGUGAGAUGAGCUCUAUCCGCAGCAGUCAGUUCACUUCUUAUUUUUGGUCUAGAUCUCUGAGUAUUUUCAUCUAUAAGAGAGGCAUCAUAUGAACCUUCACUAAUAAUAAAUCACAAUUCAAUAUCAAUAGAUUGCAAAAAAAUAAUCAUUCUUUUUUUCCAACUCACAUAAUUUGAUCCAUUAAACAUAGGUGGUCUAAUGACAGAAUGUUCUUCAAAAAACAUAGCAUUGUUGGUUGUCAUCUUUAUUCCAAAACCGAUUGAGCUUAAUCUCUAGGAGACCAAACUCUGAUACCAAUUGUAAGGAUCGAAAACAAUCAAGUGAAAGAGAUAAACAAUGUAAAGAUCAUAAGCGUAACAAUAAAUAAAUAAAAAGGAAAGAAUUGCAAACCAAUUAACUACCCAACUCCUCUUGAGCUUGUAGAUUAAUUCAGACAAGCUACUUCAAGUUGAUGAAUUACAAUCAUUCUUGUGUACAAAGGAAGGUUCACCUCCUCCUUGCCCCGAACUCCACUCGGUCAAGUUAGGACGUUUUACUAUCCCUCAGGACAACCCUCACAGAGCUACACUCAUGAAGUAUUCACUCACAAAUGAAAAGUUUACAAUGAAUCUCACACCACUAAGACUACAAAUCUUAUUUGAAGAGUAUUUUCUCACUAAAAUCACUCUAGACCUUUUGUAUCUUCAGUGUGUCAAAGUUAUUUGAAAUAUCUGACCAACCACUAUUCAUAUAGGAUCAAGAAAGUGCCUCAUUAAAGCUUCCAACGGAUAGAAAGUAGCUGAAGAGUCAACAAGCCGUUGGAGUGUCGGACAUCCGGUACUCCUGUUUUUUGCGUCCGACAGCAGGCAGUGAGUUUGAGAAAUCUUCUUCAAUUCUAUCGGGCGUCCGGUGCAAGAUCUUUGUGCGUCCGACAGCAAACAAAAAGAUUUGAGAAAUCAUCUUGUUUCUAUCGGAUGUCCGGUGGAGACAUAUUUAGCGUCCGAUUGUUUUGUCAACUUUGAAGGAUCCUAUCGGACGUCCGGUGGUGGUGUUCUUCAUGCGUCCGAAGUUAUACAAUGAUUAUCGGACGUCCGGUACUGUCUUCUUGAGCGUCUGACAGGUUCAGCAUACUCUGUCAUUUUCAAAUGUGCUAAUCUUUGAACCUGAUUUGUUUCAUUUCUGAAAAAGCCUUUGAGGAGAUGUUAGCAAUAUCCAUUUGUUUUGUAAUCAUCAAAAACUAGGGACCAAGGUCAACAGAGACAAUGUUAGCGAGUGUUUUCGAACCUCGCCACCAUCUCAUUAUCUACAUGAUGACCCACAACAUCAUACCUAAGAAGACGGCGCAUACGGAAGUCCGCAAAAGUGACAUUUAUUUUCUCGAUUAUAUGUUUCACAAUCAAAACUCCUCCUAUACUCGGAUUCCCCUGUCGAACAUAAUCAUUAGUCAUAAAAGGUCUACAGCGAGCCAAAUCCCAUAAAUAUCUUCAAUAUAUUUCAAGUCCAGACUAUUCGCAUUUCCCGGCUUUCGCCACCCAAACUUACCCUAAUAUUACGCGAGAUCUCAACUUAUCGUAAAGGAAUCACUCUUUGGUAAUCGGGGACAAGAAUCCGAAAAUAUGAUAAUUCACCACUCAAGCCGGCCAGGCUCAAGAGCAAAUCACCCGUAUUAGAGAUUCCUACCCAACAUAAAUAUCUAAGGUCCCCAACAAUAGACAAUUGUUCCACACUUAACAAGUCAAUCCCCACAGUCCGAGAACCCUCUCUCGGCACGAGGUCAAUAGGAGCUCUGAUACCAUCUGUGACGGCCCCACCUCCCCCUAGGGCGUACCCCAGGGUUUAGCGGACCGCCUGCUCAACUCUCGCCAGAACUCACUCACUCAUAGUUCAAGGAAAAUAACGUACGUGCAUAGAAAAAUGCAUAACACAUCCACGUCAACUUAAAAUAUACAUUGAUACUCAAAUCCAGAUACAAAGUUUCUACACACCAAAAACUUAAAAGUGCGUACAUUUCGAGUACAAUCAACCCUAGUAGGGUACUAGCAUGAGUACAAAUGCAAAAUUCAAAACAGUUAGACUACGCUAAUCUGUACAUGUCUCAUACCUCGCUCGUACCUCUUGUAAGGAAAACAAAUGACGUGGAAUGAGCUAAAAGCCCAGUGAGGUCCCAAAUAACAAAUUGACCAUUUUGAAAGUAUGAAUAUCAACGUAGCAAGUUAAUGGCAUCAAAAGUUCAUAAGAGUGAACAAUAAUACUUCAAAUAGAAAAUCUCAAAGUGAGCGAGUGUAAAAGUUUUUCAGAAGAAUCAAUAAUCCAAUAAGCAAUAAUCAUUCCAAAGUAUAAGAAUACGGAAGGCUCUCAGGAGCCAAAUUCCCAUUGCAUCACCAGAGUUUGAUCAAGUAAUAGUUGACACUCCGUCAACCUUCAAGUAAGUAACCAAUCCAGUAGAGCACCACUUACACUACUCUCCGUCCACCAUUCACACCCCCUACUGGGCCCAAAAUCCUCAAUAAACACGGGUGGUAAUACUCGAGUAUACCGAUUAGUUGAGAAGAUAUCACUCCACUCGACAAAACAAGAGAUCCAGGGUUCGUUACCCAAUCAACCAAGCCCUUGCCAACUCGACUUGAGUAACUCGUCACAGGGUUUCUUGAAUUCCAGGAGCUGCGCACAUCAUAAACAAGUAUAUCAAAUCAAUUGUAACAAUAAACAAGUAUAUAUCACAUGAGGGCAAGUGCUAAUAGAGUACACUCUCGCCCUAACAAUUCAUGUAUAUAACAUGUAAUCACAUUGGUCACGUAACAAAUACAAGUAUCAAGUUCAAUUCGGUAUUUGAAAGCACUCACCAAAAGAUAUAGUGCCUUUACUGGUCACUUCCAGGUUGUACUCCGGGUUUGGAAUCCAAAUCUGCGAUAAAACUCAGUUUAAGAAUUUUGAAAAUCGACUAAGGUUUGAAACUUAGACUUUUCAUUCAAUAAGAAUCAAGAAAUGGAAAUUCACUUGGAGAAUAUUCGUGAAACAUUCGCUCGCUUUUCAAACUAUAUAACUUUAUAACAUUUAUACUUGGAAAUGCCAUUUGAGUCGAAAGUACAAGGAAAACGUACUUCAAGCAGUCAUUAUUUUAUUUCUCAAGGGUACAAGUUCGGCCAAAUCCUUACAUAUAUACCUCAGUAAAAGAAGACACAAAUAUCCUAGAUGGUUCAAGUAGUAGUCACUCUUAACCCUAACUCAAGUUGCAAGUAUGUCUACCUAACCCUUGAGCGUAAAUUUGGGCAGCACGCCCUUUGUAUUUUCCUAUUUUCCAACCAUUUAUGACUUCAUUCUUUUCCUCAAUCAAACCCAAAGUUACACACAAAACAAUCUCAUUCCAAUAGCCAUUCAAUAGGCUCAAGGUAAUACAAGUACAAAACCAAGCUAGGAACAUGUGCGGAAAUGAGGUUUAGCAAAAGACAGAUUUGACGUGUUUUUGCGUAACGGACACAACCGAAGCUACGCUUAUCGGAUUGGGGUACAAUCUAUACCGUUUCGAAGCUAAGACAAAGGGCUACAAUUUUGAUGCAGACAACUUAGUUCAAAUUGUGAGAACCCGUAAUUUUUCCAUUUUUAGGUUUUAUUCGGGUUAAUGGCUUGUUUUCUGCAUUUUCUUUAUUAGGAAAAUUUUCUAGAUAAUUUUUAUGAGUAAAUAUAGUUUUUAGAUGAUUUUUCUAGUAUCGAAUAGGUUUUGAGAAAUUAAGAGCGUAUACCGGACGUGGGACCCACUAGUGCGAAAAGUUUAGAAAAAUUCGGUCAACUAGGUUAAGGUUUGGAUACUGGAAUUAAUUUACCGGGUGUUAAGAGAUAAUUAGAGGGUGCUAUUUGGAUUGGUGUGAGAGGGAACAAAAGGAUAUGUAUGCAUUAAAUAGGGUGACAAGUGUCACCAUUUGGUUGGUUGUACCUUAUGACCACUAUUCAUUUUCUUACCAAUUGAUCAAAUAAAUCAAAAAAAUACCAAAAAUUCACCAUUUUUCUUCCUUCACAUAGCCGACCUCCUCAAGCAACAAAAGAAAGAAAACUCUUCAAGUUUUUGGCUUCAAUCUUGUUCCAAUCUACCAAAUCAACCAUUGAAUCUUGUUUUUACUCCAUAAAAACACUUAAGGGAGUGAUAGUGAGUUGUACUGUGGAGUUGUUUGGAAGGCUAAAGUGAUUAGUUGCUCUUCCUCUUGUGUUGCUAUGGUAAGUUGAGAAGGACCCCUCUCCUCCCUCUAAUGAUGUUUAAUCCAUGAUUAGUGGUAGUAUAAGAUGCAAUUUUAUGGAGUAUAUCUCGAUUUUUGGUUGAAUUGAUGAAGUUUUAUAAUUUUUGGGGAUUUUUCUGUUUUCAUAUGAAUAUGAUUAUGUGGUCAUGUAUGAUGAUUGGAAAUGGUAUUUAAAGAACCUAGAAGGUGGAAAAGGUGGUAAAUUGCAAGCAAUUUCUGUUUUGGAAGAAAAAUUGGAAAUUUAGGGUUCUUGGAAUUACAUUCUGCCCGGUUUUGUAGCUCAUAGCUAGAGGCCGAAUUGGCCUUGGGUUAAAACAUGCAAAUUGUAGGGAAUGAUAUUUUAGAGGUUCCUACAAAAUUUCAGGUCAAUCGGAGUACCGUAUCUUGAGAAAAGACGGAAUUACCCUUGCUGUCCUGGUUUUACCCGAAUUUGGGAAUUGCUUCUGUAAUUGGUUAUUUUGGUUAGGAAUGCUUCUUAAUUGGUUGUUGAGGUCUUCUGAUGAAAUGUAUCCCUGUUCCUUAGCUUUCGGAUGGCUUUGGAAUUUCUGGAUUUGGACAUAGGUAGCUUGAUUUAUGAUGUUUGCACUAGAAUGCGUUCUGUGAAUCUGUUUUUGCGGUUCUGGUGUAGUAUCUUGCAUUUUUGACCUGGAUACACCUGAAACUGGGUUGAGUGACCUUCUGUAAUAUUGUAGCCCAAUCUCUUAGUUUCGAAACUUUGGGUCCUGCACCUUCAUCCGAUAAUCGUAGUGCCAUUGGUACCAAAACCGCAAAACGAUGUCAGAAACUAUUUUUUUUCCGGGUUAACACUUACUCCAUUUCCGGAUUUUCUGGUUUCCCCUAUUGCUUGUGUAUGCUUAGGGAACCCUAUUUUGGUGAUAUUUGGCUUUGGUUUAUGACUCGUUAUCGAGUCUCAUUGUACUUGUUUGCGUGUUAUAGGGCGUGACGGUGGUUCACGACGUUCCUUUGACGGAAGUGCAUGAAAUGUCGCUUCCAAACUUGGUGAGUGUACUACUCAUUUGUGUGUUACUAUAUGGCUUUGAUACUUGAACUUGAUGAGUUAAAUGUUUAUUGUACCAUUGACAUUGAUUGAAGUGAGGGUGUACUUUAUCACUCUCACUUAUUUCUCAUGUUAUUGGAAUAGUACAUGAAAUGUUACGUGAAAUGAAAAGUACUUGACUUGGUGUCGUUUGGACGAGUAUCCAACGACCAUGAUUGUUACCAUUGAGGUCAACCCCAUUGGUAGUUGAUUGAAUCGAGCCGGCGAGGGUUUGGUCGUGAAAAUUAAUGAGCCUUGGGGAAAGUUAUAAGGAAUCUUGUAGUAUGAGAGACUCUCGAUUCCGGUAUACUCGAGUAAUACCACAGUGCAAGUGUUUGGAGUUCGGGUCCGGUAGGGGUAUGUUGGGUGGAAGGAAUGGAAGUGAAGUGGAGUCUACGGUUGGUUACUCUUAAACAUUGACGGAGGGUCAAUGAGCUUCGAUCAAGAAUGCAAACGAGGAAAAGGGCUCUUGAGAGGCGCCCGUAUCCUUUUAUCACCACCAUUAAUGUGUGUCUUUAUUUACUUUUGAUGAAUUGGACUGAAAAGCUUGAUGCAUCUAUGAACUUGAUUGCUUGAGUAGUAUUAUCUCACUGGGCAAUUAGCUCACCCUAUUCCUUUUGUUUUCCUUACAGGAAAAUAAAUACUUUUGGACUGCAAUUGAUAAUUGGUUGCCUAAUUGAUCUAGUUGGACAUAUCUUUUGUAUAACUCAUUCAUUGAAACCCUAAAUGUCCUUUUGGGACCGUUUCUCUUUUGAUUUGGCAAACCAGACGUGUAUCCACUUUUGAAUACUUUUGUAUGCCACUUUGGCUUGUAAAUGCUAAGUUUCAAGAUGUGAAUGUUUGUUUGAUAUUUGGUUGGGUUCUGACGGGUCGGUUACUAUUCAUAGCCGACUUCGAUUUCAUUUUUUUUUUGACAUUUUGACUUGUUUACCCACGUUGGUAAGUUCCGGAACGUAUUAGCUCGCUCUAUACCGAACCGUUAGUCCUGGCGAAAGUCGGGCAGGCAGUCCGCUAACCCCUUUGGUUCGCCUUAGGGGAAGGUGGGGCUGUCACAGGUGGUAUCAGAGCCUGUUUCGCGUGGUCUCUGCGCGGAGUGAGCCUGGACUAAGUGGUGAAUGAGUAUAAAGGAGUAAGUGCUCAUUUGAGCAUAAGCUAUGAAUUGUGAAUGUUAUAGGCCUUAAAUCUCUCUCAUGGUAUCUGAGGACCAUAGAUAGGUAUGUCGGGUAGGAAUUUCGAUUGUAGAUAGUUUUCUCUUGGGACUGGCCAGCUCAAGAUGUGAAUUGUCUUCUUUCGGAUUCUUGUGCCCGAGUACGCUAUAGUUGAGGCGUUUUGGGAACCUGAAUAGGUAUUGUUUAGCCAGAAUAAUUUCAAGAGGUCAAUGGACAUCUAGUUGGAUAGAAAGUAACCUGAGAGAUCGGACGAGGUUAUUUUAAUUGGGUGUGGGACGAUAUAUCUCUUUUCUUUUGCUUCGCCCGUAUAUUGUUACUGCAUGCCGUCGGUUUGUGUAUUGGUGUAUAUGAAGCAUUGCCUGCUUUGAUACGUAUUUGUGUCGAUUAAUCAUUUAUUUCCCUGAUAUGUAUGCGGUGUAUUAUGUGUGUAUAUGCUUAUUUGGGUAUUUGGUGCCCUAAAUUUUGUUAUUUUAGUCACCUUAUUGUGUUCAUUCAUUAACUUACCUUUUGGGGGGAAAAGAAAAGAAAUAUAUAUAUCUAUAUAUCAUAUGGAAGGAAGAUGUAGUCGUGGUCAUGGUCGUGGCCGUGGAGCUGAGCGAGGCCAAGAGUCAAGAGAAGAAAAGGAAACAACCGCUGAACAAAGACAAGGACCGAAGUGUCACAUGUACUUAAGAAUUUAUUAUGACCCAUUGAUUCACCUGGCAGGCUGUCAUUUGAGUUCCAGCGACUCCGUGAGAUGGCACAUUGGGUUGAUAUAUAUAAAGAAAUCGCGGUUCUUCGAGACGAAAUAGAGGUCCAAAGGAGACUAGCCGAAUACUGGGAAAGGCGAUGGAAGCACGAGUAUUCAGAAAAGAUUGAGCUUUUGCACCAGAACUUAGAGCUAAAAAGGAAAUACGAAGGGAUUUCUGAGGAGGCCUUAGCAAUGGCACAAAGUACCCCUGCUAUGGGGGUUCCAGAGGAAGCUCAAAGGACAGGAAUUGUAAGACCACAAAUGAAGAUUUUCUAUGCACAGAAAAAGGGUAAAGCUCUUGAAAAUCAAAGGCCAGAACAGGGUGAGCGAGGUAGGCCAUUUGCCAAGAGAGGUCGUGGAGUGGGUGGUGUGAGAAUUUUGGAGGCACUUAGGGAAGAUACUCUGGAAGGACCAUUGAGAGGUACCUCACAAGGAGACCAAACCUCUACCCCUCUCCCAUUUUGUGGCUAUUGUAGAAAAUCCAAUCAUUUUGAAGAGAAUUGUUGGAAAAGGAGGGGAAGAUGUCUGUGCUAUGGGAGCGCCGAGCAUCGAAUUGCUCAUUGCCCUAUUAUAGCGCGUGAAAAGAAAGGAACCCAGCAACCAACCAAGACCGACCCUGGACCGUCAAGUGGAGAAGGGACUGGAAUGAGGAACCUCGUUUCUUCUGACUCUGAAGACGGAGAAGGUACAGGCCAUUGGUUACUUUAAAUUUUGAAGGUAAAAUUUCGAGGGCGAAAUUCUUUUAAGGGGGAGAGAGUGUGAGAACCCGUAAUUUUUUCAUUUUUAGGUUUUAUUCGGGUUAAUGGCUUGUUUUCUGCAUUUUCUUUAUUAGAAAAAUUUUUUAGAUAAUUUUUAUGAGUAAAUAUAGUUUUUAGAUGAUUUUUCUAGUAUCGAAUAGGUUUUGAGAAAUUAAGAGCAUAUACCGGACGUGGGACCCACUAGUGCGAAAAGUUCGGAAAAAUUCGGUCAACUAGGUUAAGGUUUGGAUACUGGAAUUAAUUUACCGGGUGUUAAGAGAUAAUUAGAGGGUGCUAUUUGGAUUGGUGUGAGAGGGAACAAAAGGAUAUGUAUGCAUUAAAUAGGGUGACAAAUGUCACCAUUUGGUUGGUUGUACCUUAUGACCACCAUUCAUUUUCUUACCAAUUGACAAAAUAAAUCAAAAAAAUACCAAAAAUUCACCAUUUUUCUUCCUUCUCAUAGCCGACCUCCUCAAGCAACAAAAGAAAGAAAACUCUUCAAGUUUUUUUCUUCAAUCUUGCUCCAAUCUACCAAAUCAACCAUUGAAUCUUGUUUUUGCUCCAUAAAAACACUUAAGGGAGUGAUAGUGAGUUGUAUUGUGGAGUUGUUUGGAAGGCUAAAGUGAUUAGUUGCUCUUCCUCUUGUGUUGCUAAGGCAAGUUGAGAAGGACCCCUCUCCUCCCUCUAAUGAUGUUUAAUCCAUGAUUAGUGGUAGUAUAAGAUGCAAUUUUAUGGAGUAUAUCUCGAUUUUUGGUUGAAUUGAUGAAGUUUUAUAAUUUUUGGGGAUUUUUCUGUUUUCAUAUGAAUAUGAUUAUGUGGUCAUGUAUGAUGUUUGGAAAUGGUAUUUAAAGAAGCUAGAAGGUGGAAAAGGUGGUAAAUUGCAAGCAAUUCCUGUUUUGGAAGAAAAAUUGGAAAUUUAGGGUUCUUGGAAUUACAUUCUGCCCGGUUAUGUAGCUCAUAGUUAGAGACUGAAUUGGCCUUGGGUUAAAACAUGAAAGUUGUAGGGAAUGAUAUUAUAGAGGUGCCUGCAAAAUUUCAGGUCAAUCGGAGCAGCGUAGCUUGAGAAAAGAUGGAAUUACCCUUGCUGCCCUGGUUUUACCCGAAUUUGGGAAUUGCUUCUGUAAUUGGUUAUUUUGGUUAGGAAUGCUUCCGAAUUGGUUGUUGAGGUCUUCUGAUGAAAUGUAUCCCUUUUCCAUAUCUUUCGGAUGGCUUUGGAAUUUCUGGAUUUGGACUAAGGAAGUUUGAUUUAUGAUGUUUGCACUAGAAUGCGUUCUGUGAAUCUGUUUUUGCGGUUCUGGUGUAGUAUCUUGCAUUUUUGACCUGGUUACACCCGAAACUGGGUUGAGUAACCUUCUGUAAUAUUUUAGCCCUAUCUCUUAGGUUCAAAACGGUGGGUCUUAUACCUUCAUCUGAUAAUCGUAGUGCCAUUGGUACUAAAACCGCAAAACGAUGUCAGAAACUAUUUUUUUUCCGGGUUAACACUUACUCCAUUUCCGGAUUUUCUGGUUUCCCCUAUUGCUUGUGUAUGCUUAGGGAACCCUAUUUUGGUGAUAUUUGGCUUUGGUUUAUGACUCGUUAUCGAGUCUCAUUGUUUUUGGUUUGCGUGUUUUAGGGCGUGACGGUGGUUCACGACGUUCCUUUGACGGAAGUGCAUGAAAUGUCACUUUCAAGCUUGGUGAGUGUACUACUCACUUGUGUGUUACUAUAUGGCUUUGAUACUUGAACUUGAUGAGUUAAAUGUUUAUUGUACCAUUGACAUUGAUUGAAGUGAGGGUGUACUUUAUCACUCUCACUUAUUUCUCAUGUUAUUGGAAUAGUACAUGAAAUGUUACGUGAAAUGAAAAGUACUUGACUUGGUGUCGUUUGGACGAGUAUCCAACGACCAUGAUUGUUAGCAUUGAGCUCAACCCCAUUGGUAGUUGAUUGAAUCGAGCCGGCGAGGGCUUGGUCGUGAAAAUUAAUGAGCCUUGGGGAAAGUUAUAAGGAAUCUUGUAGUACGAGAGACUCUCGAUUCCAGUAUACUCGAGUAAUAUCACAGUGCAAGUGUUUGGAGUUCGGGCCCGGUAGGGGUAUGUUGGGUGGAAGGAAUGGAAGUGAAGUGGAGUCUACGGUUGGUUACUCUUAAACAUUGACGGAGGGUCAAUGAGCUUCGAUCAAGAAUGCAAACGAGGAAAAGGGCUUUUGAGAGCCGCCCGUAUCCUUUUAUCACCACCAUUAAUGUGUGUCUUUAUUUACUUUUGAUGAAUUGGACUGAAAAGCUUGAUGCAUCUAUGAACUUGGUUGCUUGAGUAGUAUUAUCUCACUGGGCAAUUAGCUUACCCUAUUCCUUUUGUUUUCCUUACAGGAAAAUAAAUACUUUUGGAUUGCAAUUGAUAAUUGGUUGCCGAAUUGAACUAGUUGGACAUAUCUUUUGUAUAGCUCAUUUAUUGAUACCAUAAAUGUCCUUUUGGGACCGUUUCUCUUUUGAUUUGGCAAACCAGACGUGUAUCCACUUUUGAAUACUUUUGUAUGCCACUUUGGCUUGUAAAUGCUAAAUUUCAAGAUGUGAAUGUUUGCUUGAUAUUUGGUUGGAUUCUGACGGGUCGGUUACUAUUCAUAGCCAACUUCGAUUUCAUUUUUUUUUUAUUUUUGACAUUUUGACUUGUUUACCCACGUUGGUAUGUUUCGGAACGUAUUAGCUCGCUCUAUACCGAACCGUUAGUUCUGGCGAGAGCCGGGCAGGCAGUCCGCUAACCCCUUUGGUUCGCCUUAGGGGAAGGUGGGGCUGUCACCCAAAUUCCAGUGUAACCCAAUCAAAUUCCCAAUUCACAGAACCAAAUUCCAACUAACCGGCCAGUUAACCGUACUACCUUCAAAUGGCCAUAUCUCAAGCUACCAAAGUCCGUUUAAGACGUUCUUAGAGGUGUUGGAAAGCUAAGACAUAGUAAAACUUCCAUGUUUUGACUAAAAGCUAGUUCAGUACGUAUCAAGGUGAACAAACGCAACCAACUUAGUGUACUGUCAAAGCUAUCCACUGACUUUACUCCUAUGGCAGUCAGGGUAUUUUCAUCUUUUCAUGGGUUACGUUGCUCCAAUUGAGUUAAAAUUUUGUAAGUAGCCAUAAAAUAUCAUUCUCUACAACUUUUAUGUUUUAUGCUAAGUCUAAUUUGGCCUCUAACAUAAUGAAAUGGAAUCCGACAGAACUGAAGCUACAAUUUCCAGAAAUCUGGAAUUUUGCUAUAUUCAAGCUAUAAUUCAAAUUUUUACCUUGAAACUACCACUACUUUCUCCUUUACAAGAUUAUAUACCACAUAUAUACAUCAUAUGACACCUAACCCACAAGAAACACUAACUCAAAAGUCAUCCAUCCAAUCAUCAAAAUCACUUGAAACAAGUAUCACAAGCAUAAUUCUAACAUUAAUACCCAAUUUAAUCACGAUUAAUAGAGAAAGAAAGGUUGAUCAGCCAUUAUACCUCAAGACAAGAGCUUGCAAGAAUGAUCCUCCACCUCUCCUUGAAAUUUUUGGUUCCUUAACCUUCCCAAACUUCCAAACUAGUGAUUAAUCGGUUUAGUUUUUCUUGUUUGCACUCAAAAGGUUGGAUUCAAGAUAGAAGAUUGAAAACUCUCCUUACUCCUUUGCCUCCCCUUGCUCUCGGCGAAAACAGAAAAAAAAUGAGGAAGAAUGAGCUGAGAUGAGAGAUAAGAAGGCAAGACAAAAGGGUUGGUCAAGGAACCAUAGAUGAUCAACACUUGUCACCACCAAAACCAUCCAAAUUUUGCUUUCUUUUCCUUGCAUUUUGGGUCACAUAUUUCGGCUAUAAGGUUGAGGAUGAGGGGGAUAUUUUGCAAAAAUAUCAAGGGUAUGUGGUAGUAGCGAAGUGGUGGUCAAGUGGUAGGUUCAAUCGGUAGUGAUCGAUACCCGUCGGUGUGAACCGAUUUUUUCUUAAAUCGCGUAUACUAGGGUUUUUUACCUUCUAAUCACUAGCUUAUUAUUAUCAUUUCUAAUCAUAUAAUAUUUUCUCAUCCAAAAAUCUCUCUUACCUACCAAAUUUGAUCCUCACUCCGUACCGAAUAGUCACACUACGGAAAAAUGUGAAAACCCUAAUUCGUGCUAACUUGAAAUCGAAACGUGAGACCCUACUUUCUAGAUUCAUUUGCACUUGUUGUGGGGUGAUUGAGUAGUAGGGCUAUAAUAAAUGAAUAAUUUCUAAAUAAAAGGGCAUUUUUAAGAAAAAUAUAAGGAAUUUUACGGGUCCUCACACUCUCUCCCCCUUAAAAGAAUUUUGUCCUCGAAAUUCAUACAUGCACUCCGAAAUAAUAAACAAUAGAAAUCAAGAAUCAUACCUUUUACUAUCUCCGAUGGUUCAGGUAAUGCCUGUUGGUCCAAGGCGUACACUCUAACUGGCACUCUUGGUUUAGUCCCUCCUACAUUUGCUUAUUCAGGGUUUAGGUGUGAUUUACGGGGACAAGUUGCAAGCUGGUGCUCGGUACUACCACACCAUAAACAUUUUCCUGCCGUUCGCCAACAAUCAUUCUCCGUAUGAUUGGCCUUCCCACAGUACCCACAAGAUACUCGAGGGACUGAGGUCUAACCUCCUUGUGAGGCACCUCUUGCUUGCUCCCUGCCACGCGAGGCUCCUCUUGGAGUAAUUUCCUUAGAUGUCCCUGAAAUUUUCUCACUACCAUCUCCUCGACCCAUCUUAGAGGGUGGCAUAUCUAAUUCACCUUAUCCUUGUCUUUGACUUCCACCAGGCGCAUCCCUCUUUUUUGCAUGAAAAGCUCUCACUUGUGCCCUAGCAAUUUCUAUUCUUUGGACCUUCUCCAAAACCUCCGUAAACAUAUUAAUCUGGGCCGCUGCCAAGGCCUCUUGUAUCUCCACAUUGAGCCCUUGCACAAAUUUCAUUAUCCUUCUUUGCUCCGUGGCUAUCAAUUCAGGAGCAAAUUUAGACAACUUCGUAAAUUGGGUUUCAUACUCAGAUACACUUAAAGUUCCUUGUCGAAACUUAAUAAAAUCAUCCUCUCUCUUCUCCUGGACGAUAGGCGGGAGGUAUUUCUCGUUAAACUUCCGUACAAAGUUCACCCAAGUCCAUGCGGUCUCCUUUUUUUCCCAUUUAGCCCUAAUUACAUUCCACCAGGCUCGAGUUGGGCCUUCGAACUGGAAAACAGCGAAUUGUACUUGCCUAUCCUCUGCAUAGUUUAAAGCGACAAUGAUGUUGAUCAUGGCCUCUAGCCAUUUCUUGGCUCCCUUUGGGUCUGGUCCUCCCAGGAACUUAGAUGGAACGAACUUAUGAAAUCUCUCUAAGACCCUAUCUUGCCCCAUAUCGGGGUCCCUAGGUUGAUUUACAGGGGUUUGACCCUGUUCUUCCACUAAACGGGUUAGAAUAUUAGUCAUCUGUUGGAUUGUAGUUGCCACUUGAUCUCCCCCUACAUCCUGGGGUCCAGGUUGUGGCUCAAUCGUUGCCUCUCCCUCCUCUCUCGGUUCUCGCACCGGUUCCUGUGCUUGUCUACCCCUACGGCCACGACUAGGACCGUGUCCUCGGUUAGUUCCCCUGGUUUGACUUCUUCUACCCUCCAUUUUUCGCGGCAAAUCAACUAUAGCAAUAUUGCCAACUAAUCAAUGAUAGAAUAUAGCCACUAAGUAACUGUAUAAAUAUAAACAGCAUAAAACAGAAUAAUGCAAAUCAUAAACCUUUCUAAAUCAUAAAACAAAGGUAAUGCAGCACAUUCAAUCAAAACAAGUCACAUAACCUAUAGGACAUUAACCCUAGGUAUUGCUCAGGCACAACACUUAAUCAAAACUCGAAACACGUGAACAAUAAGGAUCCCAAAUCCCAUGAAUAUCUUCAAUAUAUUUCAAGUCCAGACUAUUCGUAUUCCUCGUGCCUUUGCUUUCGCCACCCAAACAUACCCUAAUAUUACGCGAGAUCUCAACUUAUCGUAAAGGUAUCACUCUUUGGUACUCGGGGACAAGAAUCUGAAAAUAUGAUAAUUCACCACUCAAGCUGGCCAGGCUCAAGAGCAAAUCACCCGUAUUAGACAUUCCUACCCAACAUACAUAUCUAAGGUCCUCAACAAUAGACAAUUGUUCCACACUUAACAAGUCAAUCCCCAUAGUCCGAGAACCCUCUCCAGGCACGAGCUCAAUAGAAGCUCUGAUACGAUCUGUGACGGCCCCACCUCCCCCUAGGGCGUACCCCAGGGUUUAGCGGACCGCCUGCCCAACUCUCGCCAGGACUCACUCACUCAUAGCUCAAGAAAAAUAACGUACGUCCAUAGAAAAAUGCAUAACACAUCCACGUCAACUUAAAAUAUACAUUGAUACUCAAAUCCAGAUACAAAGCUUCUACACGCCAAAAACUUCAAAGUGCGUACAUUUCGAGUACAAUCAACCCUAGUAGGGCACUAGCAUGAGUACAAAUGCAAAAUUCUAAACAGCUAAACUACGCUAAUCUGUACAUGUCUCAUACCUCGCUCGUACCCCCUGUAAGGAAAACAAAUGACGUGGAAUGAGCUAAAAGCCCAGUGAGGUCCCAAAUAACAAAUUGACCAUUUUGAAAGUAUGAAUAUCAACGUAGCAAGUUAAUGGCAUCAAAAGUUCAUAAGAGUGAACAAUAAUACUUCAAGUAGCAAAUCUCAAAAUGAGUGAGUGUAACAGUUUUUUCAGAAAAAUCAAUAAUCCAAUAAGCAAUAAUCAUUCCAAAGUAUAAGGAUACGGAAGGCUCUCAGGAGCCAAAUUCCCAUUGCAUCACCAGAGCUUGAUCAAGUAAUAGUUGACACUCCGUCAACCUUCAAGUAAGUAACCAAACCAGUAGAGCACCACUUACACUAUUCUCCGUCCACCAUUCACACCCCCUACUGGGCCCAAAAUCCUCAAUAAACACCGGUGGUAAUACUCGAGUAUACCGAUUAGUCGAGAAGAUAUCACUCCACUCGACAAAACAAGAGACCCAGGGUUCGUUACCCAAUCGACCAAGCCCUUGCCGACUCGACUUGAGUAACUCGCCACAGGGUUUCUGGAAUUCCAGGAGGUGCGCACAUCAUAAACAAGUAUAUCAAAUCAAUUGCAACAAUAAACAAGUAUAUAUAACAUGAGGGCAAGUGCGAUAGAGUACACUCUCGCCCUAACAAUUCAUGUAUAUAACAUGUAAUCACAUUGGUCACGUAUCAAAUACAAGUAUCAAGUUCAAUUCGGUAUUUGAAAGCACUCACCAAAAGAUAUAGUGCCUUUACUGGUCACUUCCAGGUUGUACUCCGGGUUUGGAAUCCAAAUUUGCGAUAAAACUCAGUUUAAGAACUUUGAAAAUCGACUAAGGUUCGAAACUUAGACGUUUCGUUCAAUAAGAAUCAAGAAAUGGAAAUUCACUUGGAGAAUAUUCGUGAAACACUCGCUCGCUUUUCAAACUAUAUAACUUUAUAACAUUUAUACUUGGAAAUGCCAUUUGAGUCGAAAGUACAAGGAAAACGUACUUCAAGCAGUCAUUAUUUUAUUUCUCAAGUGUACAAGUUCGGCCAAGUCCUUACAUAUAUACCUCAGUAAAAGAAGACACAAAUAUCCUAGAUGGUUCAAGUAAUAGUCACUCUUAACCCUUACUCAAGUUGCAAGUAUGUCUACCUAGCCCUUGAGCGUAAAUUUGGGCAGCACGCCCUUUGUAUUUUCCUAUUUUCCAGCCAUUUAUGACUUCAUUCUUUUCCUCAAUCAAACCCAAAGUUACACAUAAAACAAUCUCAUUCUAAUAGCCAUUCAAUAGGCUCAAGGUAAUACAAGUACAAAACCAAGCUAGGAACAUGUGCGGAAAUGAGGUUUAGCAAAAGACAGAUUUGACGUAUUUUGCGUAACGGACACAACCGAAGCUACGCUUAUCGGAUUGGGGUGUAAUCUAUACCGUUUCGAAGCUAAGACAAAGGGCUACAAUUUUGAUGAAGAACACUUAGUCCAAAUUCCAGUGUAACCCAGUCAAAUUCCCAAUUCACAGAACCAAAUUCCAACUAACCGGCCAGUUAACCGUACUACCUUCAAAUGGCCAUAUCUCAAGUUGCCAAAGUCCGUUUAAGACGUUCUUGGAGGCGUUGGAAAGCUAAGACAUAGUACUAAAACGUUCAUGUUUUGACUAAAAGCUAGUUCAAUAUGUAUCAAGGUGAACAAAUGCAACCAACUUAGUGUACUGUCAAAGCUAUCCACUGACUUUACUCCUAUGGCAGUCAGGGUAUUUUCAUCUUUUCACGGGCUAUGUUGCUCCGAUUUAGUUAAAAUUUUGUAAGCAGCCAUAAAAUAUCAUUCUAUACAACUUUUAUGUUUUAUGCUAAGACUAAUUCGGCCUCUAACAUAAUGAAAUGGAAUCGGACAGAACUGAAGCUACAAUUUCCAGAAAUCUGGAAUUUUGCUAUAUUCAAGCUAUAAUUCACAUUUUUACAUUGAAACUACCACUACUUUCUCCUUUACAAGAUUAUAUACCAUAUAUAUACAUCAUAUGACACCUAACCCACAAGAAACCGUAACUCAAAAGUCAUCCAUCCAAUCAUCAAAAUCACUUGAAACAAGCAUCACAAGCACAAUUCUAACAUUAAUGCCCAAUUUAGUCAUGAUUAAUGGAGAAAGAAAGGUUGAUCAGCCAUUAUACCUCAAGACAAGAGCUUGCAAGAAUGAUCCUCCACCUCUCCUUGAAAUUUUUGGUUCCUUAAGCUUCCCAAGCUUCCAAACUAGUGAUUAAUCGGUUUAGUUUUUCUUGUUUGCACUCAAAAGGUUGGAUUCAAGGUAGAAAAUUGAAAACUCUCCUCACUCUUUUGCCUCCCCUUGCUCUCGGCCAAAACAGAAAAAAAAUGAGGAAGAAUGAGCUGAGAUAAGAGAUAAGAAGGCAAGACAAAAGGGUUGGUCAAGGAACCAUAGAUGAUCAACACUUGUCACCACCAAAACCAUCCAAAUUUUGCUUUCUUUUCCUUGCAUUUUGGGCCACAUAUUUCGGCUAUAAGGCUGAGGAUGAGGGGGAUAUUUUGCAAAAAUAUCAAGGGUAUGUGGUAGUAGCGAAGUGGUGGUCAAGUGGUGGGUUCAAUCGGUAGUGAUUGAUACCCGUCGGUGUGAACCGAUUUUUUCUUAAAUCGCGUAUACUAGGGUUUUUUUACCUUAUAAUCACUAGCUUAUUAUUAUCACUUCUAAUCAUAUAAUAUUUUCUCAUCCAAAAGUCUCUCUUACCUAUCAAUUUUGAUCCUCACUCCGUACCGAAUAGUCACACUACGGAAAAAUGUGAAAACCCUAAUUCGUGCUAACUUGAAAUCGAACCGUGAAACCCUACUUUCUAGGUUCAUUUGCACUUGUUGUGGGGUGAUUGAGUAGUAGGGCUAUAAUAAAUGAAUAAUUUCUAAAUAAAAGGGCAUUUUUAAAAAAAUAUAAGGAAUUUUACGGGUCCUCACAGCGAUAAAAUUUUGGUGACUAAGUGAUUUUUGUGUUAAGUGUUAUUAUUUUACAAGGUGCUAGGAGAUGAUUAGAGAUUAGUUAGAUAGAUUAACCAUUGGGAGUGAGAAGAUAAGCUUUAAACAUUUAAUAGGCCAAGUGUCAUUACAUCAUUGGAGGUUGGACUUUGACCUAAUUUUCUUCACUUUACUAAAACCAAAUUUUGACCAAUUUCUUUCCAUUUUUCAUCCUCCUUGGCCGGCUGUUCUUGAGAGAAAAACAAGAGAAAGUGCUUCAUUUUCUAGCUUCGAACUUUGCUCAAAUCUUGAGUUUUAGCCAACCAAAUUUGAAACUACUCCAUACAAGUGCUCUCUAAGGAACCUUGAAGGUUUAGGUGGAGUUAUUUUGGAGGAGGAAAGACUAAGCUACUAUAUUUCUUGUGAUUUUAAGGUAUCUUUCCAAGAAUCUCUCUUUACUUUUCUAAUACUAGUUUAUUUGUGGUUCAAGGGUGCAAGAUAAGUAGCUUUAUGGAAAUAUUUCAUGGUUUGAAGUAGAGUUAUGUAAAAUUUCUGUUUUGUGGUAAAAAUUUCUGCUCACAUGUGAAGUUUAAGGAUUGGCCAUGAAUUACUAGCUUUGAUGUAUGGAAAAUCUUGUGUUUAGGUGCUAGUUAAUUUGCCUAAGGAAAUUUUUGGUUUGUGUACAUGAAUUUCAGAUUUAGGGUUUCCAAUUUUGGUGUAAUUAGGGUUUGUUUUAGAGCUUGCAAUUGGUUGUAUUUUAUGGGGGUUUAAUAGCCUAUGAUGUAUAUGUGCAAUUGUAGUUGAUCGUUGUAAGAUUUGGUGUUUGAUUGUAGGGUGAAAAGUGAAGAAAUUAAGGGGAAAUGCUGUCCGGUUAUUUUCUUAUAUUUGGUGUGAGUAAAAGUGAGAUUUGAAAUGUGAUUUUGUGAUGCAUUGAAUUCACUUUGCUUAGACAUACUUAGGUCUACUUUAACGGUGUUAUUUGAGUUAGAUUUCAUUUGAACUUCUACAUUUUCGCAUGGUGAGUGUGACAACCAUUUUUACAUGAUACAUAGAUACAAAUGUUAAGUUUUGAACUUCAAAUGUUUACUCAUUUUCUUUCCAAAACAAAGAAGAGUUGCAUAGGGUUUCUCGGCCGCAAAACCUAAUUUUAUCAAGCAAGGCUUUAGGUGUGAAUUUAGGGUUUGUUUAUCAUCCUUUUCAUAUGAUUUUACCCAAAACACUUGUUAUACGUUAUUUCUUUGCAUAUGUGUUAGUUUCGAGCCAAACAAAAAGCCUUGCGAAAAUUUGGAAGAAAAUGCUUUUCAUAUCCGACCGUAUAUCCGGUCAAUUCUUGGCCGGAUUGCUGGCCGGAUUGACAGGGGAAGAAGAAAAAACAUUUGGAGUUGCUCACUGCCUUGAAUCUGGCCGGAUAUCCUUCUAAGUUCUGGCCGGAUUCUGACGUGGCACUGUUCAUUCGUUUUCAAUGGAAUUUUCUAAAACCCUUUUUGAGUAUAGUUUGCGUUUGGUUUGGGGAACUCUUAGUUACUUAUGUCCUUUGGUCUAAAUAUACUCUUUUCACUUUCAAACUCAUGUUUAAACAUUGUACUAGUAAGGUAUUCGGAUUUUCGUUGAUUCAUUUAAUCUUUGAGGGUUGAAGUAUAAUGUGUUCUCUUGGUUACUCUUAGGGUUCCUUGGUGAUUGAAGGUGUUAUCUGGUUGGAUACUUUGGACGUUAUUUUGCUUAAAUAGGUGAGUGUUCUUUGUACGUUAUAUUUUCUGUGGCUACGUGGAUUAUUGUGUCUACGUGGAUUGUUGAUUAAAUAUGUUGAUGUACGUUAUGUUUCCAAGGGUUGCUAAAAUGAAUUUUCUAAGCGAGUGUGUACUUUAUCGCACUUGACCUAAACAAAUAUGAAAUUUUCCAUGAUUAAAUGAUUAAAUGUUACUUGUGCAUGGAUGUAAGCCUUUUGGCUGAACUGGGCCCUUGCCCUUCAUUGCCGGUCGACUCGAGCCAGAAGCGGAUUCGGUCGGGCGAUUGGUAACCCUGGGAAAACUUUUGGUAUACUCGAGUAUGACCACGAAGUCUGGUAGAGACUAGCCAAUAAAUUGGCUAGAAGGGGAAGAAUGCGAUGAUUGAAUUAACGGCAGGAACAAAGAAGAGGUUUUCACUUGCAAAUGAAAUUAUUUUUAAAAGCUGGAGGAAUAAGGAAAUGAUUGGUGGAAUGAACGAACGAAGGGCUCGUUGUGAGCACGUAUCCUUUUGAUGAAUGUAUUAUCAUUGCUUUAUAUUGUAACUGUUUUAUGGAUUAUUUGUUAUUUCAUGAUUUAUGUCCUUGUUUAAUUACUUGUUUAUGCGUACGGAACUUUAUUGGGCUUUUAGCUCAUUCCGUUAGUUUUGUUUUCCUUACAGGGGUGCGAGCAAGGGCGAGAGACCUGUAUAGAAUAGCAUAGUCUUGUCCUUUUUAAUUUUUGCAAAUGUACUCGCUCUAGUGCUUGGUUAGGAUUGGAUGUAUUAAGAACUGAGAACUUUUGUUAUGUUGGGAUUGUAUUACUUUUGAGAUUUAAAUGUAUGUAAGUAUACGUUAUAAGUUUGGGAAAUGUUAUUUCGUUUAUUAUUGAGGUUUUACACCUGUGUUAUUUGAUGUGAGUGAUGUAAUUUAUUCGAGAACUGUAGUGAGUCCCGGCGAGAGUUGGGUAGGCGGUCCGCCGAAUCCUUUGGUUCGCCUUAGGAUGAGGUGGGGCUGUCACACAAGUGCUCAAGGCAGCUACCUAAAGGUCUCAUCAAGCCUACUAGCCUAGAGAUUAAAACAAGAAAUGAAAUUCCUCAAGUCCUCUAGCUUAUUUCUUGCUUAGGGUUUCAAAUCCAAGCAAAACCAACCAUGAUUCUUGAAGGAAAUGGAAAGAUUAGAAGAGUUCAAGGGUUACCUCUAACCCUAGAUGAGACAUCAGAAUUUUCCACCACAAAACCUCCAAGAAAUUCCACAAGGGGUUGCCUUUCUUCAAGCCAAAAUGAAUCUCCAAGUAGUAUGUGAUUUGGGUGAGGAUUUGCAAGUGAAUUGGAAGCAAAAAUGGAAGCAAGAUGAAGAGCUUUCUUCCUUCCUUUCUCCUUGAAGUUUCGGCCAACCAAAGAGAGGAGAGGGAGAGUGGUUCGAGUUGUGUGAAGCUUCCCUUGGAAGAUUGAAGAAAUUGUGGCCAAAAGCCUUGUAAAAGUCAACUGCAAAUGGCGUUCGAAUAGUGUCCCGUACCACUACUUUUCUCUCUUGUUUGUUUCACUUGUGCACUAAUCCUCCAAUGCAAUUCUUUUAACACUAUAAUUAUUCACUCUUAGUAGUCUAGUAUAAUUUUUCAAAUUUUCACUUAGUCGUUCCGACGCGAAAACGCGAAUUUCCAACUCGCGCGCGAUAAAGUGAAAUUUAAAAGAAAUUCAUGUAACAAUAAUAUAAUUAAUUAACUCUAGCAUAAAUAAUUAUAAAAUGACUACUAUUGAUCAUUCUUAAUUUUUCAAGAUUAUUGCACUCUCGAAUCGAAUAUUGUCUCAAAAAAUGUGUACUCGUUAUACCUUACUAAACGAGCCUCCGAAAAUUAAAUUUGCUAACGGGACAUUUUAAAAAUAAAAGCGAGACAUGGUUCCAUGUAAAUGGAUUUAAAAUUGUUGAAAUAAAUUAUGCGGAGAAAAUGGUUGAAUAAAUAUUUAAAUAAUCCAGUAAAAUAGAAUUAAAAGUAAGUAAAAAUCGGGUGUUCACAACCUUCCCUCCUUAAAAAGAAUUUUGUUCUCGAAAUUCACAUCUGGGAUAACAUCAUACCCCUUAAUUGCUAAGUUUAUCAAAUCGAUCCACGGCUUACAACUCUCCAACCCAUAUCUCACAAUUUCUAUACACCAAAUUAGCGAUUAAGCUUUGAUCCCUAGUAGGCGUUCUAAUUUCCAAAUCAUAAGCUAACUUAAUUGGCUUCACAUCUAUUCCACUCAUGAACUUAGGGUUGACAAAUGAGUGUGUCGUAUCAUGGUCACUUAGAAUCUUAGCUAAACAAAUUCCACCAGUGUCAAGUACUUAUUUCAACCAUUUUUUUUUCCAAAAUCCAAGAUACCUGAUCUCAACAUGUCCUCAAGGGUCUGAAUUGUCCCUUCUGAUUGUCCAUCAGUCUGUGGGUGGUAGGUAGUGCUAAAACUCAAUUUAGCUCCUAGCAUUUCUUGCAUCUUCUGUCAGAACCGAGAAACAAUCGAGGUCUCAGUUAGAUACAAUACUUAUUGGUAUCCCAUGUAGUCUUAUAAUCUCAUCCAGAUAUAGCUUAGCUAGCUUCUCCAGUGGGUAUUUCAUUUUAAUCGGCAGGAAUCGAACAGAUUUGGUUAAUCUAUCUACUAUUACCCAAACGGCAUCGUGAUCUCUUUCAACAAGUGUAGUUCUUUGAUCAUCAAUCCUGCUAUUUGCACUUGACGAAUUAAAGUAUCAGUUAUCACAUUAGUUUUUCCCUGGGUGGUAAUUAAUCAUGUAAUCAUAAUUCGCUAAACUUCACCCAUCUACGUUGUUUCAAAUUUAAGUCUUUUGAGAAAAAUAAGUACUUAAGACUCUUGUGGCCGGUAAAACCUCAAACGUCACCCCCUUAUAGGUAAUGUCUCCACUCCUUCAAUACAAAUACCACAGCCGCUAAGUCCAAUUCAUGAGUUGGAUAAUUUCUCUAGUGAGGUUUUAACUUUCUAGAGGCAUAUGCAAUUACCUUCUCAUGUUGUAUCAAUACACAUCCUAAAUCAUCCUUUGAAGUAUCUGUAUAAGCCACAAAACUACCUCCUCCGCUCAGUAAGGUUAACAUAGGUGCAUCGGUUAAGCACUUUUUUACUCUUGAAAUUCUUCCUCAUAUUUAGAAUCCCAAAUAACUUACCAUGCUUCUUAGUCAACUCAGUUAAGGGUCUUGCAGUUUUAAAAAAGUCCUUGAUAAAUCGAACGUAAUAUGCGACUAACUCUAAAAACUCCGAAUUUCGGUAGGGUUUUUUGGUCGUUUCCACUUAAAACAGUUUUCACCUUAGCUGAGUUCAUAGAAAUUCCUUCCUUAGAUAUUGUAUAACCUAAAAAGGCUAUUUCUUUCAGCCAAAACUCACAUUUAUUGAACUUAACAAAAGUUGACGCUCUCUCGGGGUUUGUAAAACUAUCCUCUGGUGCCGUUCAUGAUCUUAUUGCAGUCUAAAGGUAUGGGACAAUAAUUUAAAUAUACAUAUAGGUCGUAAAAUCAAAUAAAGCAAGGUAAAGUUUUAUAAGUCACAAAAGAUUAGAAUAGUUACACCAAGUGAGUAUAAUUUAUCAAAUCAUUUCAAAAGAAAUGGGAGAUAAAUAAAGUCAUGGGAAAACGUGCUGAGUCGCGAAUGUACGAAAUAUCAAAAGGACUUUAUCCCCUACAGAAAAGAUUACAACCUCAAGAGUGCUAGUCUAGACUAGGGUAAAACUACAAGCUCAAUCCCUCGAGUGCAGACAAAACCAUCCCCACUCGUAAAACUUCCACUACUUGGAUCCCUUUUUAUCCAUUAGCAUUAAUUACCCCCAUCUAGCACUCGAUUGCUUUGUAGCGGAUCUAACUGACUACUGAGUAUUUCCUCCUUUUGUUAGGGGUACUAGGGCAACUUACUGUAGACACCAAAUUUUGCAAAAAUUUUUAUUCUAAUUUUAUUUUUUAUUUUAGUAAUAAUUCUUAUUUAUUAGUUUCAUUCCAUGAUUUUAGUUCUUAAACUUUUAACAUUUGUAUAGCAUUUUAGAUUGUUUUAUAUUAUUUUAGUUUUAUUUUUGCAUUAGUUUAGCCCUUUUAGCUUUUUAUCGUAUUGUAAGACUUUUUAGCAUAAAAUUUGUCAAAAAGAGAAAAUUUUUAUAAAAAAAUAUGUUUUAUUUCCUUUUACUGUUUAUUAAUCGGAAAGAAAAAAAGAAAAAAAAAAGAAAAAGAGAGAAAAAUCAUUAGCCAAACACAGGAAAAAUCUUAGUUUUUUUUUGUUUUAUCUUUUGUUACUAGUUUGUGCAUUUUGUCAAAGUUUAAAAUUGUUAUUUUGUAUUGUUAUUUAAUGAAGUAAAAAAAAAAAAAAGGGGAAAAAGCCAUGCAAUGCAGCGGAGGUAUGAAAGAUACCAUUUUCCACGGAUGUUUUUUAGCUUUUCUCUCCUCCAAACAUUCGGCCACCUCAUCCCCUUGAAUUCUUAUCAAAAGACUUCCGGAUACAACAGCCAUCGGAUGGCUGAGGGAGAGGCGUUGAGCUGGGGUGUUCUAAAAACCAUUGAGAUGAGGGUUUUAAAUUAGUCAUCGGGGUAUAAAAAGAAACUGGGGGCUUAGGCGUAGAGAGAGCACGGCGUGACGGCUGAAAAGAAACCAGAAAGGAGAGUAGAGGAAAACAAGGGAGUAAGAAAGAGAGAAAACCAGAGGGGAGGGGAACUUGGAGAGAAAAAAGAGAUCCGAAAGCUAGAGAGGGGGACGUUUGGAAGUCUGAAAAAAAAAAGGAGAAGCAAGGAACAGAAAGGAAAAAGCUUCCGGAAAAGAAGAGAGAAAAAGGAGGGCUGAGCGAAGAAGAAACCGAGAAUGUGAGAUGCAGAGACAGUGGUGACGGCGGAAGAUAUAGGAAAACAGAAAGGAAAAGAGGAGGAGCAAGGGGCAAAGGCUGAAUGGAGGAAUCUCACCACCACCUGCGGCUGUUCUUCGAGAGAAAAACUUCUGCUCAGAAGGUAGCACAGUAAGAUUCCUUCUACCCAUUUUCCCUAUAGAUAACUUCUGUUGAAGAAUUAUGAGACUAUGAGAAGUGGAUGGAUAUGUGUUGUCGUUUGGUUUGAGUAUGUGAAUACGGUCAAAGAAGUGUAAUAUUUGUUCCUUGUGUUGGUUCAUGGUCUGCUGCCAAAGGUGUUGCCUUUCUACGUUAGAUCUUCUCGGUUGAGUGUUCAGUAGUGAUUCAUAAGAGUGUAUGGAGAGUCAAGUCUUUGUUUACGGUUCUUGUUACCUGCUGCAACUUUGUCCAUUCGGUCUGGGGUAGGUUGUACGAAAUGCAUUGGCUGCUAAAUCUUUCAUUCCAGAUUUGCAUGUUUUAAUGAUUUUUAUAGGGCCGUGGGAAGGUCGCCUCUUGCUUUAGUUCUGAUUGUUUGGGAAUGGUGUUAGUGAAGUCUUGUGUAUGUGAGAAGAGUUAUGAUCAGCUCGAACCUGGUUGAAGCUUUGUUACUUGCCUUUUUGCUGCCCAAAGCUGUGCCUAUAACCUUCUUGAUAGAAAACCGAGAUAUAAAUCAUUUCUUCUGUGUGCACUUUUUUCUGAUUCAUGUGUUGUUUGAUUAGUUGUUCUGGAAUCUGGGUCGAGGUUUAGCAGAUGGUCAGGCCAUUUUUUGUUUCUGGUUCUUGCAUUCUAGAUGUAUUAAAUCAUUUUUGCUAUGAGCAACUAAAAGUUGCUGCAACAAGACUGGAACUCCUUGUUUGCCAACCGUAAUGUUGACAGAUUGGGGGUCCUUGGCUUGUUGCAGCAGCGUGGAAAGAUCCUUUCUUUUGGGUCGUUGAAGUGGUAGUUGAUUGGACUUUCUUGUUGUUGUUUGCUGCUUAUUUGAGAUAACAUGAACAAUACGUGCUAUGGAGGCUGCAUUUAGACAAACCAUUGCCUUGAAAACCAGGGGAAGUAAAACCAUAUGGCAUGUGCAGUUUUCUUGUUUGGGUUUGAUGCAUUGAGGAACUAGAGUGUCUUGUUCACAUGUAUAGUUUGUCUUGCUCCCUUGUGAUGAUCUCAGUGUUUGGUUGAAGAGUGGAAUGUUCUUGGUUGAAUGUUUAAUGGACCAUUGCAAGUAUCUGAUGAAAGCUUCUCGGCUGCAUUUUGUCUUUUUUUUCCUCCUUGCCUUCUUGGCCUGAAGUCUCUCCGUGAGAAUUAAACAAUCAUAUCUGGAUAUAGAAUUUGGGCAUUUAGGUAAUGUCGGCUGAACAAGUCUCGAGCAAACUUUAUGUAUUUGAAUCUGAAAUUCGAAUUUGGAAGCAAAAAUGUAGCAGGCCUUCACUUUAGGUUGCAGAAAACUUGCGGCACUUUUCCCUUUUUCCUCUAUUGCUGUUUUGCUGUUUGCUUAUAUCCUUGAUGAUCAGAUUCAUUUCCUUUGCUUCAAUCCUGCAAUAAAGUUGCAUGAACCCAGAAUUUGCAGAAGGCCGUGUCCUUCGGUUUCUUUUGUGCAUGAUCUGGAAAAAAAAAAAUCUUUGGGGAAUGCAUAGUAUAUAGUUGUUUUCUGAUGAUAAGAUGCAUGAAGUAUUGUUUUGGGCUCAAAGGAUUGUUGUUGUUGGGACUUUAUCAUUUGCGUUCUGAUAUGGAAGUCAUAGCAGCGGAAAUUGCAGAAACCAGCAAUGAUAAAGAAAGCAUUCUUCGUAGUUUUGCAUGAAAACUUGCAUGAAAAUGUUCUAAGAACUGCAGUCUAGUCCCUUGUUUCUUGGAUAACUCAACUAGGACCCAAUCAAUUGAAUAAUUUCAUCAAUUUGGUCCUUGGCUGCUUUGAUUUUUUUUGCAACUUCAUUGCUUGCUUGCUUCAAUUAACUACCAUGCUUUGUCUAAAUUGCACUUAAUUCAUGAUUUUAAGAGCUUUAUGGUCAAGAGAGUUUGUAUUUGCAUAUUUUCUUUAAUUGUUUCAAAUUAAAUUGGUGCCUUGACCUUUUCUUUAUUUUUGGAGGGUAAAUAAGUUAUUUCACCCCAUUAGAGCUCCAACUCAAGGGAGGUACACCUUAUCCUUUAUUUUUCCCUUUAUUUGACCCUACGUACGUAUAUGUGUCUUAUGUGUGCAAUUGCAUGACUUUAAGUGUUUAUUUUAUUUGUACUUUAUUUAUUUCUUUUGUUGCUUAGUUUUGCUUUAAUUUUGGUUCAAUUUUAUCAUUUGGGAAGCACUCGAAUGCCAAAAUUGUAAUAGUUAGGGAUUUAAUUAUUUUAUUUAUUUUCAUUUCCCCUCUUAGAUUGUAGUAGGCUUCCUCCCGAAUGUAAUAGUUAGGGUCUUAAUUGCUUUAUGUGUUUUGCAUGUCUACGUGCUAUGUGUUUAAUUGCUUCCUUAGGGUUUGGCAUCUAGAUAUGCAUGCUUAUGUGUUAUGUGCUAUGUGAAUUACGUGCUCAUAUGCCUACUCGCUUUAAUUACGCACAUUUACUUAUGUAUGUAUGAUGGAUGCAAAUGCACGUAAUCGUGGCUAGUCCAAUGCUAGUCAUGAUUGUCCCCCCGAGCUCUUGCAAGUCCAAUGCUUGUGAGAGAGCGUUAGUGAAGGACUAGUCCAACGCUAGACCAUUAGGGGCCUUUCGCGCGUUAGAUCAUGAUUGCAUGAUAAAAACACUUCAUUUCAUGCAUAUUUUCACUUUUAGGGCCUUUUAUCAUUUUGUAUGACAUUCCCCUUAUACGUAUAACCCUUAUCCCUAAUUUCCCUAUACACAUAAUAUACCCCUAUGCAUGAUACAUGACAUUAGAAUUGCAUUUCAUUCUAGAAAUAGGAUUAGGGUAGUGCAUUUGCUUGAUUAGAUUAGGGAGCCCCUUAGAUAUGGGAUAUGGACGAGUUUGGCUUUUCUAGCCUUAACACUCUCGUAUUCCCUCUAUUAAAGGGAAAACUGAGUCACGAACAUUAGUCCCCCGUACCCGACAUGAUGCAUUCCUUUAAAACAUGUAUAUUUCUAUAAUUAUUUUAUCAUUUUCCUCUUCUUAGAGUCUCAUAUUUUUUGCAUUAUUCGUGACCUCUCCAAAGGGCCAUUAUUGGGCGUCACAAUUAAUGUGAUUGGUACCAUUCAAGUUUUGAAGAGAAAUUUUGCCCCCCGACACCCUCCUAGGUCUAGGGUUGCAUUCAUAUAGUACGUCCAAAUGUGAUAAAUGCUUUGGUUAAAACAAGAAAAUCUUUGACUGAAUCGCGCAACUAGUCUUGGCUAGGUCGAAAGGGUGCCUUGGAUUUCUAUCCUUGCCUUCCCCUUCGUCAAAUGUGACUCCCGAAAUCUUUUCUUUGAUUUUCGUAGACUAGGAGUCAUUUAAAAGGGGUUUUUUCUAAUUUUUUCUUUUGAUAACUCAUUUUAGGUGACUUGGUACACCUUAACUCUAUACCAAAUGGCGACUCCGAUUUUUAUUUCAAAAACCCUUUUUAAACUAUAUUUUGGGUCAAAUCGUCGCAUUUUCAAGUCCCAUUUAGACCCACUUUCUUUGUAAAUCAAAAUUCAUCUUUCAAAUAAAAAAUUUUCACUUUUUAAACCAUUCAUUUAUAUUUAUUUAAUUUUCUUGUAAAAAAUGGGACGCGACAGCUGGCGACUCCACUGGGGACUUAGAGAGUCCGAGCAUUUGAUUUAGUCAAUUAUUUUCUUCUCUUAACCUUCUCAUAUAUCGCAUUUGGAUGGUUAGGGUUGUAUUUUUCCUUUUUUAGGAUUUUUGCAUUUCGUGCGUAUCAACUCACUCACUCACCCAUUUGGCGUACGAUUAUUUUAAUGGAUGGAUGGUUUAUGUAUGUGAUUCCGCGCUUUGCAUUGCAUUUGGGGAUGGGGGGAUAUUACCCUAGAGCCUCGCGUUGGUUCUUGAUCCCUCCCCUCCAAACGAGCACUAGCAUACGUGCAUACGCUUUAAUUUUUUACCCCUCAUUUAUUUUUCUUUUAGUGGCUUGUCACGCCACUCCACCCUAUUUGGAUUAGGCGACCCACUUGGACGUGUGAUCGUGACACGACGUGUGCGUAGCACGAUCCGAGGGGUCACUCAAUCUUCCGCUUUAAGCUUUGGGUUAAUAGCCUUUAGCUUUUGGUUGAAGGUUGAGUAUUUUUGAUAGAUUCGCUCAGACAUGUAGCCGUAACAUGACGUGUGCGUAGCAAUGUCUGGGGAAUCGCUCGAGCCACCGACAAAGAACCUUGGGAUUGAUGACCCUUGGUUUCCAAGUCUGAAGGCUCGGGGACCUAAAACCUAUCGAGUCUAGAUGCAUUAGUGAGCCAAUACCUCAUGCAUCCAUGAUAGCUUGCCUAGGGUAGAGUCUGUCUUGCCUUAUUAGGGACACUAUUCACGAGGGGAGGGAUCCAACCCCUUUUCCUUUUUAUUGCUUUAUUUCUUUGCAUUGAUUUUAUUGCUUUAUCUCGUUGCUACAAUGUGUUAUGUGUAUUUAUCUGGCUGCACUAACUUUUCUUGGUUUUGUUCCCAUUGCAUUCACAAACCCUAGCAAAUAAGAGGUCUGGCAUGACCUUCUUUUAGAACCUACCCUUGUAGAUAGGCUAUUGCACGUUUAAAGAUUUUGGUAUAUUGCAUUCAUAGAUUAAUAAUUGCAUAUCAUUCUAGGCCUACCUUGGCGUAUAAAGGGUCCUUUUAGGUCAUGAUAUCAUUUAAAUUGUAUGUUUCAUCGCUUUAAUAAACUGGCAUCAUGCAUAAACCCUAGAAGGGGAAUGCUAUUUAGGGGAUCUCGUGUUAGGAAUAAACCACCUUGUGUUUCGGAUACUUAAUCCAAGGAGACUUGCACGUUUACAUUUUGUACCAUCCAAAGGGGUAGUGCACAAGGUAAGGUAGGAUCCGAUCAUUUUCAUAGAGCGAUCUUUGGAAUAUGAGCGUCUAAUAAUCACUUUUUGGCCACUUUAUCAAAAUUGGUAAGAAUCCCUGGUGUAAAGGACAUUAAUUGGAACAAAUUCACCAAUAUUUCCUCACUGUUGAGACGAUAAAUCAAUUGAGGCCAAAAUUUGAUAUUAGAAGGCUCAUAGACUAAUGCAUCGCAAUAAGUUGUUUGAAAUUACCAGUGGAUAGAUUGAUUUUUAAAUAAGCUGUCAAUUCUAUUCAAUCCACUGGACUAUUUUAUUCACCAAUUGCAUCCAGUCCAUUUUAUCAAUUUGUUCAUUUUUAGGGCAAGCUAGUCGAUUUUGAAUUCAUUUGACAAGUUUACCCAUUUUAGGGCAAUCUAGCCGAUUUUGAAUAGACCACCAAUUUCAUUUAAUUCAUUUGAUUAGUUUACCCAUUCUUAGGUCAAUUCAAUCAAUUUUGAAUAAAUCAUCAGUUUCGUUCAAUUUCAUUUGACCAGUUUACCCUUUUUAGGGUGAUCUAGUCAAUUUUGAAUAAAUCAUCCGAUCCAUUUGACCAGUUUACCUAUUUUUAGGGUAAUUCGGUCGAUUUUGAAUAAAUCAUCAUUUCACUUAAUCAAUUGAUUUCAUUCCCUUUAUUUGAUUAGUUUAAUUCAUUUUUGGGUUAUCCAUUCAAUUUUGAAUAAAUAAUCAAAUUUCAUGCAAUGCAUUUGACCCUUUUACCCUUUUAAGGUAGUCUAGUCAAUUUUGAAUAAAUUAUCAAUUUCAUCCUAUCCUCUUGAUCCGCAUAUUCCUUUUUAGGGUUUAAAUCUAAAAUUCACUGAAUAAAUUAGCUGAGGCAUUGCAAUCCUUUUAAGAGUAGGCUCUCUUUCACAUAUCAUGUGUUGAUCAAAGUAAACAAUCUAUUCGGACUUUGUCCUCAAUUUUUUAGGACGAAUGUUUCUUCUCACUCCAAAUUGGCCAAAUUUUUUCAAAUCAUUUUUCACUCAAUCAGUUGAUCGGAUUCAUCAGAUAUUGUAUGGUGCCUACUCUAGAGGAUUGCAUUUUCAUGUUAGGCCUACCCUUGGCAUAAAAGGGCUCCCCCAUACGACAUGCAUACCGAUUUUACAAUUUUGCUUACUAACUCUGGGUAUUUUUCUUUUAUUUUUCCCCCUCCCCCCUGCAUUCAUAAAAAUAUUUCAAUAAGGUGAAAAUAUCUUUCUAUAUCUGAUAACAAUUUUGAUCUGAUAAAGUUUGAAAAUUACAAGUAUUACUUGAUUCUUAGGCAGGCCUUACAAUGUGAAUUCAAAAAUUCAUUUGAAAGCGCUCGUGCAAAACAUCUAAGGGAUUUCAUUGCUCAAAGAAAAAGGGGAUAUUAAGAGAGAAAAUGUGUAUACAUGUGCAAAGGAGUUUUGUAGAAUUUUUCUCAUAUGUAUUGCUUUAAAAUUUUUCAAAACAUUGGCAUUAAUGAAGCUUUUAUUCAGACAAUUAUUGUUUUGUAGGUAUAUUCAUGUACAUUUCAUUGUUUAUUUUUGCUCAUUG
rnacentral:lncRNA from 1 species